rnacentral:lncRNA from 1 species
UUUUUUUUUUUUUUUUUUUUUUUUUUGUCGACGGAGUGGGGUGUCCGGGUCAAGUCCGUAAAGGCGGCCCGACUAAUCCCCACUCCGGCCCGGUCUAGCGCCCCAACCAGACCCAGCACGUUAGAUGCACGGCGAACUGAUGUUGCUGCGGAGCUUCGACCCCAGGACCUAACGGUCCCGAGGAAGAGGCGCCAACCACCAGCCCAUUCACGUGGGGGCUAGUAGGGAGUUUGUUAGGCGGAGAAUUUCGACAUAGAAAACUUUUUUUUUUUUUUAGGGAUCCACAUAGAAAACUUGCUAACCUUUUUCCUUGUCGUGUAUCCAUUUUACACAGUUUAUAGGGCCAUAUUCCGAACUCUAUGGCAAACAUGACAGUAGCUCAAAUUCAACGAGCAAUUGGAGAUGCCAGGAACGAUAACCAUGUAGCCAUCAAAAUGGCAAUUGUACAAGUCUUGACAUGUAGAAAAAAAAAAUCAUUAUCCACUUAGAAUUUUCCCUGUACUUUCAGCCAAUCUCCAACCACAAAUCUGCCCAAACUACCAACAAAUUACUCAGUUGUUUUUACUUGAAGUGGCAGAGCCAUCUCAUUACGAGAGUAACAACUCAUAUAGAUUGGCCUACUCUCAGAACUCUUCACAUGUGAAACAGGAGGUGCACAGGAAAAAUGGGUACAAAAGGACCGUGGUCAUUAACGGACAAUUUUGUCUCCCAGCUAGAUAUAUAAUGUCCCAUUUCCAUUUAUCAUGUUCUUGAACCAGAGAAAUCAUCAAGUCUCAAAUAAACACAUAUAGAGUAGGAUUCAUUCUUACUGUUAUAUUUUUUAUUUAACUUUCAUCUUGUACUUGUUUAUUUUAAUUAUGGUACAAGGAAAAAUUUGAAUAAGCAUUGUAUGACUAGUUAGAUUGAGGCUAUGAUAUGAGAAACUUGAAUAUGGGUUUUGUAAACUACUGUUGGGGAGAAAACCCUGAGAACCAAAUAAAGAGGUCCAAUAUAUGAAUACUCAUAUUACACCCAAGUUACUUCCCUAGUCCACCGUAAUACUCAAGGCAAAUUCAACUAUUUGGAGCUAAAUCGUGGACCCUAUUUUCUUCAACACGUUAAUAGAAUCCCCGUCAAACCCCUAGUUCCAAGAUACACCAACUAGACUUAACAUAUUACUGGCUGCAUGGCCCAACAUAGGACAAUAACAAUUUAUCCGUCCGACAAAAAGAUAGCAAUUUACUGAUCUAUUAUUGAGAAGAAACAACUUGCGAAUAUGUAGCCUAGACUCAAACUCGAAACCCUUUUUAUAAAGUGUAAAAUAAAAGAUCACAAAUUUAGAAUCUCUCACUUACACUCUCUUCUUCUGUACUAUUCAAUUUAUCCCUUUCUUAUAACUCAAAAACUUUGAUACCGUUGGUUGAGAAAAAAAAUUCAAAGAGCUGAGAGCCCAUCAUAGGGGCUUAAAAUAUUUAGGAGCCUAAUGCCGAUGCAAAAGGUUAAAUUGAUAGGUCUUAAACCCUUAUCUAUAUAUUAAAAACUCCUUUUUUUUUCUCUAAAAAUAAGGUAGGAUAACUAAUUUUACUCAUGAACCUAAAAAUUGUUCAAUUUGAUGGAGCUGGAAAUGAACUUCCCCAGUUAACUUAGUCUAAUGUCUAGUUGACUCAUGAGAUGUGUCCAGUUUCAUUACUUUGGAACUCCAACAUAAACUUACCAUGAUCACUUCAGAAGAAAAUAUUAUAUAUGAAUAUCCUCCAAUAGCCACUUUCCUCCUUAAUUCAAACAUAGACUUCCUUCCUUUAGCUAAUACACCUCUCUCUAUAAUUCAGACCCCAUUCCAGCAUCUAGGAGGAAUAUUCCACCAAAAUGUGAACCCCAAAAAAAAAACAAAAACAAAUAUGUAAUAGACUCUUAGGUUAAUGUGGUAUGGCUGAUGAAGCCAGUAAUAUAUACAACCACACAAUUGAAGAUAAGAGUUGAUGGUUCGGGAGGCAAUGAUCAUUUUAUGGACGAGAUGCGAGUAAAGUUGCGUGUAAUGUCCGGCAAUUAUAGCACGACUUUUCAUGUACUGUUGUCCUACUCUAGUUUUGUUCGGUAUGAAAUGGUAAACGAUUUCAUCUCAGGAUUUUUGUCUAAAGAACGUCAACGUCUAAACAGCUGCAAAGCAAUUUACCAAUUUAGCAUACAAUAACCCUUCGUGCAAUUUAGCAUUUAACCUAUUUCCAAAGCACCAUUAAAUCACUAUCAGUUUCCUUCUUUAAUUGAUUUAUGUUGGCAAUCAUUUCUUUAGCUUAAGAAGUUCCUUGUUUAAAAUCUUUUCCAUCUCUACAACUGUCCUUGCAGGAAUGUGAUGCAGUGGCAGAAGAUUAUUUCUUUGCAUACCCUGACCAGGUCACCUAAAAUAAAUGUACAGACUGAUUUUAUUUGGGGUUACAAAUUUGUAUAUUAUUUGGUUGAAUGGCUACCCACAUCAAAGUAUUCAGAUUAUAUUAAGUUCAUAAGUUCACAAAAAAUAUCCAAAAGAUUAAGGGAGAAAAAAUAUCCAAAAGAUUAAGGGAGUCAUGGAUUUGAUGAAUGUCUGAUAAGAGGUGGCAAUUAUACCCAAAAUCCAACAACCCACCCAACCCACCCACUAAUUUAAGAGGUUGGGUUGGGUAAAUUGGGUGUUGGGUUAAUUUUGGAUUGGAUAAUAAAAACCCACAUAUAUUUUGGACGGUUUGGGUAAUUAAGUUGGGUACCCAUUACCCAACUUAAAAAAACAAUGGAGGCCUCUCGUCUGAGAAUUUUCAAUCCACCACCGUUUUCUCAACUUUAAGCAUUUUGGCACAUUCUUGUCAACUGCAUCGGGCUUGCUGUUUUUUUUUUUUUUUUUCCCUUUAAGACAGCAGACUUGCAAGUCUAUACACAUCUUGUUCCUUUACUAAUUGGUUUUAGGAUUGUGAAGAUUACUGUUCAACUGCAUGUUAAUGUACAUAUACAUAUUUUUUUCCAUUGUUAUCUUUUGGAUGGGAAGAUUCUAUUAGCAACUCGUGUUUUUAAGCAUUUACUAGUCCCUAAAAAAUCUAGCAAAAUAUGCAGGCAAAUUUUUAAUUGCUUUCAUAAGUUGCUCAAUUAUUAAUUAAAAUUUGUCAAUUAGAUCAUUCAUGGGUCCAAUUUUCUUUCUUCUUCGUCUUUUUUUUUCCUUUUUUGGCCCUUGACAUGAAGGUUUAUCACAAGACAAGAUUGAUAUUCAACCACAAUAAUUGUGUAAAAAGUGCAAAGUGAGGUUAUUUAAUAGUAAUGAAUAAAAGGAACCCAAAAGUCACAAAUCUCAAAUGAAUUGGAUGGUGAUAUUUGAACUAAUUGGUUGAGAAUUGUAUCUCUCUUAUCAAGUUUCAAUUUAAUUAAGGCGUGAUUGGAUCUUGUUUAAUAUUGGUAUAACAUUUUUUCAUGCUAUAUUCAACUUGGACCAAAAUUAUUUUAGUGUGUGAAAAUGUGUUUAUGUGUGUGAAAAAAAAUUUUUGUAUGCAAAAAUAUAUUUGAGAGAAUUUAUGUAUCAAAAUCUAUUAAUUAAUAUAUUGAGUCAUAUUUGGGUCUUGGGUUUAAGAUGACCCAAUGUAACCCAACCCAAAAUUAACCCGAUUUAAAGUUGGGCGAGUUGGGUAUAACCCAUUUAAGUAAAAACCCAAUAUCAACCCGUCCAACCCGUCCAAUUGCCCGGUAUAUCUGAUAUGAAUCUUGGGUUGACUUGGUUUAUUAUCAUAUUAAAUUUCACUUUUAGACACUUUCUGCUCUUAAGACCUUCAAAUUUAUUCCAUUUAAAUUCAAUCCAUAAUAUUAUUAACAAGACUAACAGAAUAGGGAUACAGUGCAAAUCAAUAACAAAUUGAUGAAUGUGGUUAGAAAGAGUAAGGGGAUCGUAAUUGGAACAAAAUUAUGCAUUCAUACGUACACAAAGCAUAAAACAUGAUAAUUAUUCAUUGCUGUAAAAAGUGAAAGCGGUGGUUGUUUAACUUAGUAAUUUAACAUUAAACAAGAAAAAGAAGUACAACUUCUGAACAAGUCUUUGGUACAUCACGUUUUGCAGUUACUCAGACACUCAACAACAACUCAACAGUAAAAACAGCAAAAUGUAAAUAGUUAUUAAGCAGGUAGACCCUGCAAGACUCUUCAUUUGAUGAAAAUUCUCCACGUUCAAAGUUGAGCUAAGCGACUUAUGUCAAUUGGAUAUGCAUCUGAUGACUUUUGAGCCCUGUAUGAUCUUCUCCCAACUAUGAUAUUUGCAGCUUCAGUUGGAUGAAAUGCAUCCCAAAAUAGAUGCUGAUUUCUGUUAGGACAUGGAGUUUGAAAAGGAAGACAUGUUAUCUGGCCAUUGUUUCUCCCAACUCCACAGCAACCUCUAUUUGUCACAGUGAAACCUGCGCAGAAAAUUAAAUAUAAUUCGAAACCAGCUAGAUGCAUUUUCCAACCCCCUCCAAGAGUUGAAUUUUCGUAGUUAACAUAACAUUUUGAAUUUUUUAAAAUUUUUAUUUGUGAAGUAAAAAAUUGCAUCAACUCAAACAAUAAAUGUGCAAAUAAAUUUCUAGGAGAAAUGGCAUGGAAGUUACCAAAAGCAGAGGGACUGCUGAUUAAAUCCUGGAAAAUCCCAUAAGCAUCAAUGUAGAUAAAUCUUGCAUCAGUGAAUUGAUUGUUCAAGGUGUCCACUAAAGACUUAAGUUUGCUAUUGAACAUCUGAUUUGCCGAGUUGAUUCUGGCCACACAAGUUCUGCCAUCCGGGCUAUUUUGGGCUAAUUCAUUUGGACUGCAUCCAAUUUGACCCACUCCGAUCAAAACAAGCUUCCUUGCUCCAAGGUUAUACAAUCUCUAUCGACAAUCAUAAACAUCAAAAUGUCAAACUUAGAACUUAAGAAAGAAAAAAGUAAGAAAAAAAAAAUAAAGGAACACUUCUAUUCUAUGAAAUAUGAAUAGGGCUUGUAAUGAACUUUAAGAGGAAAAAAAAAGAGAAGGAGGAAAUACAUGAAAGAGUAAUUAAAUGAAAGAAAGGAUAAAUGAAAAACCAACAAGAACUUUUAAAAGUUAGCACUGCUUCUCGAUCAUUAAUUUUCCCUUUUUAGUAAAUUAAAACAAACAGGUGGCUAAGCAGACUGCGUUUAAGUUAUUUUAUUUUAUUCUAUUUUUCUGUUUGUUAGUCUUCAUAGUGCUUUAAAAGAUUUGUUCACAGUUCCUCAUUUCCAGCUCAUAAUUAAUAUCACCUAAACUAUUGUCCUUCUGCCCAAGUCAAAAGGGAGGUUGGUCGAUUGGUACAACAUUGGAAAAAACACCCUUAGAAUACGACUAAGCAAUAAAUACAACUAGCUUUUGUUCAAGGAGGCAGAGACUUCUGAAACAAAUUGUGCGUGAAAUUGUCCAAGAAAUUAAUUCCUCAUGCUGUCAUGCAUGGUAGCUUUUGCUACAGCAUGAUGAUCAGAAGUCGAAGGAGACUAGAAGAGUGCAAUUACAUCUCUAAGAAUGACAUAAUGUACAUCAGACACCUCAUUUCUUUGCCUUUUCAUUUCUUUCUGUCCUCUUGCCUUUUUUUUUUUCCCUUCGUCAUUUAUCUCCAUAUAAAACAUAGAGUUACUUAAAUUCUCUACCCAAGCAUGCAUCAGCAAAUUUUUUCUCUAUCUCAUCACAUGAUAUGAUAUAUGAAUGGGAUAAUUAAAAAUUUUAGUCAUGGAAAAAUAUGAGUGUCUCACCCUUAUUUGUUGAGAAUACUGGCCAAUAAGAGCAUUAGCAAAUUGCUCAGGUGUGAAUUGUCUGCUACUUGAGUAGAAUAGAGGCAUGAAAUAAUUGUUAAGAUAGUCAUUGCUGCCAAGUCCAACUGAAUAUAUGCAUUUGCUAAGGUAAGCUGCAGCACGGUUUUGGUCUCCAAGUAAGCUCACAAUUUGAGAAACUGUGUUGUUGUAAUUAUUCACCUGCCCAGUAAAACUAGUUCUGGCACCCUAUAUGAGAGAAUUCAUCAGCACCUUCAUAUGCAUGUAGACCAAAAAAAAAAAAUAAUGUAGUUGUCAAAAACAAAGUAAUCUUUUGUAGUAUUACCAAUUGCUGGCCAGUUUCUUCUCUAAUUCCAGCAGCAGCUGAAGCAUAAUUUACUCCUUUGAGUAUGUCUUGGCCCUGGGCUCUUGUGAAGGGUCGAAUAUAUCCAUUGAAUCCCAGUAGCUCAGCUGAUGAUGAAGCAAACACAUUGAAUAGGAAUAAUCAAAAUGAAAAUAACACAUAAAUUAAAAUAUACGUGUGUGUAGAUUAAUACAUGUGUGUGUAUAUAAAAAAAAUGUUAUUUGCAUUCCUAUUUUUGUUAAUCACACUCUCACUAUCAUUUUAAUCAUAUAACUUUCAUUUAUUAAACUAUAUCAUGAUAAAAUAAAAUAAAAAUUGAGUGUAAUGUGUGUGUGUGUGAGUGACGGAACUAAAAAAAAAAUUAACUAGUAUACAAAAUCGAUAUUGUAAAAAAAAAAAAAAAAAAACCUUUAGACUGCUACGAGAAUUACCCAACAUCACACUAUAUGCAGUAUGUUUCCAAAUUUUACUUGCUAGGCAGAUAUUGCAGUAUCUCGAAAACGUUCUUGCCAAUGCGGAAAAUAUACGUAGUAAAAUAUAGUAUUACGUGAGACCAUAAAGCGAAUACUUUCUUUGACAUGCAAUUAGUAAACAACGAAGAACAUGUAGUCAUUAACCGCUUGAAAAUGAUAGUCAAGAGAAUAUGCACAAAAGCAGCUCAUCAUUAGAUGUGACAAGUUCGACGGAUAUUUGCUAAUUCUUCGAAUGUAUAUGUUAUGACUGCAUGUUCAUGGUAAUCUUAUUUUUAAUAUUGUCAAUAUGAAGUUGACCUAAUUUCAGAAUUAGGAAGCUGAUAAAUAUUACCUUUUAAAUAAAGAGAAAGUAUAGAUAUAUACGACCAAUCGAGCAACAAAUUAGUGAGAGAGUAAGAGAGAGGGGUUCAAAACUCACUUAUAACAUCAACGGUGGUUUUUCCAUUACAAAACCUUCCAGUUGGUCCACCAGGAAAAUCGAUUCCAUAGGGCAAGUAAUUAGCUUUAGCCAAAGAAUUGAUAUUGUUGUUGUUACCAUUGUCCACCAGGGAAUCUCCAAAAAUAAAGUAACAUGGAACCUGGGGCUGUGCUAAAACCCGGUUCGGCACCACCACCACCACCAUCACAACAAACCCCACCAAGAAUUUCUUGAACUCAGCCCCCAUUUGCAACAUAUUUUAGAAUAAAACAAAAGGGAGUUCAAAGAAUUUUGUAGCUAAAAAAAAAGGGCUAGUACUAAAAGGUGGUGGACUCCUUUUAGCUAUUGAGUGAUGAAAUUCUAGGAGCAUCAAGUGUGUUAUUUAUACACAUAUUUUAAGGUCAGACUUGAAAGGCUUGGCAAUCAAUUAAUAGGUGUGCAGCAGUUAGUUCUGGGAAUCAAUCAGUCAAGCAAUUAACUUUUAUGGGUGAGAAGUAACGGUGCAUUAAAUUUAACGCGGAUAGACUUUGAGUUUCUUUACAGUUUACACUGAUGGCCAAACAGAGUUAGUUUGAAAUGGUCGUCAAUUUGACAAUCGCCCCUUUUGUCUGCGCCGACGACACAAUUCGUACUGCUGCUUGCGAGCGCCAAAGAAGUCGGUACAAGCAUACUUAUAAAGUCCCUCCCGGUCGAGUCGGCCAACCCGAUUUAUCCGGUAGGAUCGAAUUGAUCACUAAUUAGGUGAGUUAAGCAAUAGAUUCAUCUGAUCAACGAUUCAGCGGUUGGAUCACCGAUUUAAAAUAUUGAUUAUUUUUAUAAUUUAAAAUAUAUUAUUAUAUUAUAUAAUAUAACUAUUGUCCAACCUGCGGUUGAACUGGAUCACCUCUUUGGAUCGAGUUUCGAGUCGGGUUUAAGAGUACAAGGUCCAUUUUCCCAAAGAAGUUUUAUCGUUUUGGGCCUCGUUUGUUAGUUUAGGCGAGAGAGAGCUUAAAUUGCGAGAUAAAUAUAAUUUGACUUUGAAUUAUUCCAAUCAGAGUUAAUCUACUUAAAUAGUUUGGGACAUUUGCAGAGAGAAAUUAAUUUGAAUUUAUGAGUAUUACAGUUUUCUUCUUGAAAGUUUUAUGGACAAGGUAACUUUUCUUUCAUUUCUCUUCAUUUUGCAAAAGACGUUUUUAGUUAUUUUUGCAUUCCAUUUCUUCCUAUACUCUAGAAUAUUUACUUUAUUUUGUGCUUCCAACUAGUGUAGGAUAAAAUUUCACUAUCAUUAAUUAUAGAUGCACUCUUACUUUAUAGAUGACACAUUAAUUCUUAAAGUAUAAAAUCCAUCCCACUUUAAUUAUUAAACUUUGAGCGUCACUUGCCUACUAUUAUGUUAGUUUUGACAAUCGGUUUCAUAUUUUAAGGGAUAAAAUAUCCAAAGUUGAAGUUUAAGAACUAAACUCCGAUUUUACACUUUAGAAAGUAAAGAGCUCAAAAUUAAAACUAACUUAAAAAUUAAAGCGGGAGUGCAUCAAUAGCUUUAAAGUGGGAGUGCAUCAAAAGGUUUGCUACAUCUGUUCGUAAAAAUUAUUUGGAUUUGUCUUGUAUUCAAGAUAAUUUAAAACGAACACAUUUAUGUUUACUUGCAAAAUUAAAAACAAUUUCUCACUUCUCCAGUUCACAAGGAAAGACAAACAAAACAGAAACGACUUAAAAUUCAUAAUCACAAAUAAAAAGACUGAUGGGUCUAGUUUGCACGAGAGCUUUGAGCACUACAUUUUAUAAACAUCUAAGAAUACAUAUCGAAAUCCUAUCUGAUGCUUCCUCGGUCAUAAUUCAUAAGUCGCCAAGUAUCUGAUUCCCAUCAAAGCAGCAGCCAAAUUCCUGGUUGAACUUUCGACUUGAUUUCCGAAUAAGGUUGUUAAACUUGGACCAGUAAGUGAUCUAAUGGAAUAUCGAGUUGUGACUUUAACCAGUUCAACCAAUUAAACUGGUUGAGUAACCGCAACACCUUUUUUUAUGUAUUUUAAUAUUUGUUGUCCAUGGAUUUUUCUCAAAUAAUGGAUUUUUCUCAAAUGACAUAAUGUUGGACAACAGAUUACUUAAAACUACAAAAGUGUAUAAGCUAAGUUUCAAAUUUACCUAGUACUAACAAAACAUAGAAUAUUAAUGUAAUUAACUAAAGAAAACUAAGCAAUUUCGAAAGUAGCACUGAUCAAUUAUUAACAAAAGCAUAUAUUUGUAUACGCUUACUGCACAUAUUUUUUAGUUUUUAUAAUUUUAGCCCUCAAAUUAUUAAAUUUUCAUACUUUUAAGUUUUAACCCUUCAAUUUAUUGUAUGUAUAUGUUUAACCCUUGAACUCUAAAAACACAUCUAAUCUGACCUUCCCAUUAAUUUGAAUUGUUAAGAGCAAAGGAACCGCUUCAUACAUAGUAUGCAGGCAAAACUUGAAGGUCUAAUAAAUUAACAUGGUGAAAGAAAUAGUUCAAAAUUGGGGAUUUAUCAUUUAAUACAAAUAGGACCAAAUAAAUCAUAUUUUUGCAAUGCCAAUGACAUAAGAAAUUUAAAGUUGACACCAAAUGAGUCUUGGAAUAGCCAAAAAAAUAAUGAUGAGAGUCCAAAAUUCUAUUGUUAAAAUUUAGAUGAUUUCAUUUCAAAUUUCAGUUUUAUCAAACGCACCUUAAAUUUUAUUCAAUUGUCCCCUGCAGAGCACAUAAUUGUAUGUGUACACAGUUGUUAAGGAUAUCAUCUCUAUAUACGGUGUGAACUAUGUGUAGAGGUUUGAUGUGAUAGUGCUUGGCGUUUGAUUUUAAGACGUAAUACUUGAAUUUUUGGAUUUCAGUCCUUUCUGAUAAUAAGUAAUGACUAGCAUAUAUUCAAAUAUGUCUAGAAAUUAGGCGCACAGAUUCUUAUACAUCAUAGUCUAGAUAUAAUUCGUUUCCUUUGUUUUUUUAAAUGUGCUGCUUUGAAAUUUGAAAGAACAAAUUCAACAUUUUCCUAAAACUAUAAGAAUGUCAUGGCGACAGUAGACACUAGCCCUUUUUAACACUAAGCACUUUUGUUAUAGUUAAGUUUAGAAUGACAUGGAAAACGAUGUAGAUAUAGUUUUUUAAAUUUAAGGGAUUUGAAUAAUUUUCUUCCGAAAAGGAUCAAAUGCAUGGGACAAGUGUUGAGUUGUAGAAAAAUAUAUUUAUGACUUAAAAAUACAUUUUUAUAACCAACAAUUACAACGAAAACCUUAAGCUAGAGCAGUAGUAUGCCAUCAAUCAUCUCCUUUGACUCUAAUUAAUUGAAGUUUACAUCUUCAAAGUUGAGCUAAGCGACUUAUGUCAAUUGGAUAUGCAUCUGAUGACUUUUGAGCCCUGUACGCUCUUCUUCCAACUAUGGUAUUGCCAGCUUCAGUUGGAUGAAAAGCAUCCCAAAACAGAUAUUGAUUUCUAUUUCGACAUGGAGUUUGUAAAGGAAGACAUGUUAUUUGGCCAUUGUUUCUUCCAACACCACAGCACCCAACAUUUACGACAGUGAAACCUACACCAGGAAAAAAAGGGCGAAAAUACAGCAAUGUCAAUUACAAAUAUAUACUUUGAACCAUUUUUGUUCUAUUUCAAAAAUUCUGCUAAUUGUCUAUUUUUGGUCAAAAACGAAAACACUAAUCACCAAAUUUUUUUCCAUUGAAAUUUUCAAGACCAUUUAAUACAAUGCUCAAAUUUUUUAUCAAGGGCAUCACAAGUUGAGUUUCGUGUUGUUCAAACCAAUUCAUGUAAUUAUUACUAUAUUUAAUAAAAAUUUGAACAGUUUUUGUAUAAUCGCAAACAUAGUCGUAUGUAUUCAAAAGUUCAAGUUUAAGCCCAAUUGUAUGAGUUUACACCAAAAGUUGUGAGAAUUACGUGAAUUGAUUUAAACCGGAUAGAAUUCAACUUGUGAGGCCCUAAUCCUCAAACUUUAGGUUUGAAACUGUGAUUUUCUCUUUUAAACUACAUCCUUAAUAGUUAAUUUUAGAAAGUAAUGUGUACAAUACCAAAGCUACUGUCUAUUUUAUAAAUACAUGAGACGAAUAUCAGCACGAAAUAUUGAAGUAAAGAAUGAUGAUGCUGAGAAAACUGCAAUAAUAAUUUCAGAAACUGUAAGGAGGCUUAUGACCACAAAUCUCAUGAAAGAUUAAAAGUUACCAUUCUUUGUCUUCAUUGACAUCAUUUCAUAAAUGGAAAUUACUCUAUCUAGCAAAGGACAAUCAGAAAAAUAUCAUUUUCUAGGAAAAAUGGCAUGAGAAGUUACCAUAAGAAGAGGGACUGUUGAGUAUAUCCUGGAAAAUGCCAUAAGCAUCGAUGUAGAUAAAUCUUGCAUCAGUGAACUGGUUGUUCAAGGUGUCCACCAAUGCCUUGAGUUGGUUAUUGAACAACUGAUUGGCAUUAUUGAUUCUUGCUACACAGGUCCUUCCAUCUGGGCUAUUUUGGGCCAAUGCAUUUGGGCUGCAGCCAAUUUGACCCACUCCAAGUAGAACAAGCUUCCUUGCUCCGUAGUUGUACAUUAUCUGCCGUCACAAGUGUGUCAAAAAGUCAAAAUUUGGGAAAGUGCAUUCAAAAAAUUGUGGAAAAAAAGUGGUUUACUACUCUCUUUUUAACUAAAUAAUUUUGAUCUACUGCAUUUUUCCUAUUAGUCAUUAAAGUAAUUAAUGAUAAAUUUAAAAGUAAUUUCCUGCCUCUCUUUUUAGUUUUACUUUUUCUGUUGGCCAUAAAAAAAAAAUCUUUUCCAAAAAAAAAAUGGAGAUCAAAAGAAAAAGAAAAGAGUGGUAUUGAAAAAUACCAAAAUUUUGGCAAUUGGGAAAAAAAAUAUUAUUUUACACUAUAUUCUUAACUAAACUAGUCUUUGCCCUCUCUUUUUUCUUAGAGAACUCAGCCCUCCCAUUUUUACAGUUAUCUAAUUUUUUCCCCCAAGUUUUUAAUUUUUCGCUUCUUGCAAAAACGUAUGCGUUAUUUCUUUCAUGGUGCUUAUAUGCAUAAUGGUUAUCUAGUAGGGUCAUAGGUCAACGUCCCCCCCCCCCCAAAAAAAAAAGUAAGAUACAUGCAACCUUUCUCUACUUUUUGCCAAAUUAUCAUGGUAAAGAAACAAAUGAUAGAUGCACAUGUAAGGGAACCUACUGUUGAAUAAGAAGCUGAGCAAAUUGAAAUGAGAUUCACUUACCCUUAUUUGCUCAGCAUACUGUUGAAUAAGAACCUGAGCAUAUUGCUCAGGUGUAUACUGCCUGCUAGUUGGGUAUAUAAGAGGCAUGAAAUAAUUGUUGAGGUAGUCAUUGCUUCCGAGUCCAACUGAAAAUAUGCACUGGCUUAGGUAAUCUGCAGCAGCAUUUUCAUCUCCCAGUAUGUUCACAAUUGCUCUCACUGUGUUUAUGUAGUUCCUCACUUGUCCAGAAAAGCUUAUCCUUUGACCCUAGUUAUAUUAGAAAAAUGGUUUGAUUGAAAAAGGGAAGUCAUAUUUCAUAUGGUAUUUGAUUAAUUAACAAAGACAACAAAAUUGGAAAAUAUUUGAAAAAUGGUUAGUUUUGUACCAACUGCCUUCCAGUUUCCUCUCUAAUUCCAGCAGCUGCAGAAGCAUAAUUUACUCCUCUAAGUAUGUCUUGGCCACGAACUCUUGAAUAAGGUGGAAUAUAACGGUCGAAGCCCAAUUCCUCAGCUGCCCAUAGAAAUAAAAAAAAAAAAAAGAUAUUAGUCAGACAAUUUUUAUUACUACAAGACAAACUGAAUAUCAAAAGACAGAUUCACAAACACAUGGAACAACAUCCCAUGUUUACAACAUCUAUGAAAUGUCUAGAGGAUUUUUUUCUUUUUGUUUUAUUCAUAGGCAGAAUUAUAAAAUUUCUUCUGAGGGAGUGAACUUUAAUUCAACUAAUCUUUAAUUUGAAAUAUUUUUAAUUUUUUUGGGGCAAAAGUUUAACUAUACAUAAAUUUUUUUAAAAAAAAUUCAACUUUUCAAGAGAGAAAAAAUUAAUUUUUCAAAACUUUCUUGAGAGAAGGGGGGGGGGGGUAGGUGCAAGAACCCCUCCCCGCCACUCCCUAGUUUCGCUCAUGAUUUUACUAUUAUGGAUCUUCUGGUCCAAAAUUUACUUGGUAGAUUAGUGAAGUAAGUAAUUGAUUACGUGACACGGUACACAGUGCCAUUUACAUUUAAUGAUGAGAAAGGCAUAGAUUGAAUUAAAUGUUGACAUGAUUACGUGGAUGAAUAGGUUUAAUGACUGCCUCGAGAUGCAAUUGGAUAAUAAAAGUAGAACAUGCAGACAGCAGUCAUGCACUGUUCGAAUGGAUGGAAGAGACUGUGACACUGAAGGAGCUCGUGAAAUAUUAGAAGAAAUCUUGUUUUUUUUUUAAAAUUUUUGUGGCUAUUUAUUGGGGAUACUAGUAUAGAUCUCAUGACAUGCAACUAUUAUAGGGCAUCAAAAUAAUGACAAAUCUCAUUCUAGACUUUUCUCAUGGUAUAUAGUAGAAAGAUGCUACAUUAGGGAGUCAAAAAAUUUGAAUCGAAGAACUUAAGAAAGGAUGUUUGCUCCGUAGAGAUGAGGAUUGGAAAUGCCUACAAGUUUCAGAUUAGGGGGAAAAAAAAUGACGUUAUGCUUGGGAGGUUAAGCACACAAUUUAAUUGUUAGUAAUAUAUUUGGAUUAAAAGUGUUUAUAAACUCUCAAAAUCACAGAGCAUAUGUAACUUACUACUCACUGGACAUGUUACAUAGAACUUACCAAAGGAACUAAUUAAUUAAUAUACUUGCUUAGGACAUAUAGUAGAUAAUGCAAAACAAAUGAAGUGACAGAGAGAGUAAGAAGAGAGAAAUUAAGCAAAAUAAUGGUUGAGAACUCACUUAUGACAUCUACCGUGGUUUUCCCAUUAGAAAACCUUCCCGUUGGUCCGCGGGGAAAAUCAAUUCCAUAAGGCAAGUAAUUAGCUUUAGCCAAGGAGUUGAGGUUGUUGUUGUUACCAUUGUCCACUAGGGAAUCACCAAAAAUGAAGUAACAUGGGACUUGGGGUUGUGCCAAUACCCCAUUCUCAACAUUCAGCAGCAGCACCAACACCGCUACAAACACCAAGGACAACUUCUUGCAUUCACCCCUCAUUAUUGCACAAAUUUGUGAGGAAAUUUUUUUCAAAAGGGUUUCAAGGAAUUUUGCAGAAAAUAGUGCUAAGUCCUUAAUUCCUAGGACAGUUCACAGGCUUUGUGGCUGAGUGAUGAGCUUGCCAGCGUGAAUUGUGCUAUAUAUAUAUACACACACACACCAAUUGGAAUUGGAAGAAGAUAAGAGUGGGACAAACAAAUAAAAAGGGGUGCACCAAUUGAUAUGGGAGUCAUUGGUUCAGAAAUUGACUUCAUGGAUGAGAAGGCAGUGAAGGUUGCAUUUAAUUCACGCGGAUACAGUAUGAGGUUCCUUAUAUUGAUGUCUAAACUUUGUUGUCUUUCUAAACUGUGAAAACAAAUCGAAAUGCCUGCAAAGCCAUUGUGAUCUGAUUGCUACGCACCAAAUUGUAGGAGUACAAAGAUUAAGUCUACUGGGCAUUUAAAAAAAAGUGAAAUGAGAUGAAUCUGCAUGGAUAUAUCUCAAUCCGAACUUAAUCUCCAUCCAAAUUUUGAAGGUCUGAUCUCAAGUUUUCAUGCAAAGAGAAUAUUUGCAUUAAAACAAGGUCUAAGUACGUGAAAGACUGAAGAUAAGUGGAGCUUUGGAAGAAAAUAACACUUACUGGUUUAAAUGAUUAUUCCCGAUUUUGAGCAACUUUAGCGGUAUAGGUUGUAUAGCUAAUGUUUUCGAAUACUCCAGAUGUAAUUCGUUUUCUUAAAACGUCGGAAACAAUGUCCUUGCUUGGUUUUCUGUUCCUUUUUCUUUUUUCACCAUUUUAAAACAAGAAAUUAUGUAGUGGACAAACUUCUUCUCCCUUUUCCCUACAAGUAAUAAAAAUUAUUUUACAGAAUAUGGUAAGAUCCAAAAAAAAAAAAAAAAGAUAUGCCAAGAUCAGAUUAAUCAAGACAUUUUUUCCCAAAAAUUUUUUAUAUUUUUCGUAAAUAUAUUUCUCAAUCACUUUUUUAUUUCACAUACAUCAAAUUAUUAUUACAGUAUAUUUUUCUAUCAAAACUCCAACAAAGAGCAAUCCAAAUGGAUAUCCUAAAAUGCAUGGUUGACCAUAUGAACAGAUAUCAAAUUAGGAAAAUAGCCACAUAUAUUUUGACUCGGCCUUUAACAUCAAUUAGAGAUAACAAGCGGUUGGCUAGUUCAACGUCGUUGAAAGCAUGCAAUUGGUUUCGUACUUUCGUUUCUGAAGAUGACUUCUGUCAAUUUGACAUUUUAGUCCAGUGUAUGGGAAAGUCGUGUAUAGCUAUGAAGGGAUUAGAAGAAUUAUGUAAAAAAAUAAAAAAAAAUAAAUAAACCACUGAGAACUAAACCAUAAUUAAUCCUUUUAAUGCACGGUCAGCAAUUUAACUGAAAAUGCAUAGGUUACUUCACCUCGAUUUGUACAGGAUAUAUCAUCCAAAUAUGAUUAUUUUUGGUCACUUUACCUAAGCACAUAGGUUAAAAAUAGUGCAUUAACUUUCCCACAAAAAGAAAAGAAAAAAAACCCGUAGUUCACUUACCGACCAUGUAUGUGUGCUUUUUUUUUUCCAGAAUUGACUACAAUUAUUAUUAGUUUGAACAUUCUGGAAGUGAACUCCCUCGAGAAUAAUGCAUUUUAGCCUCGGUCAAUAACCGUUUACUACUUUGCGGAGCAUGUAAAAAAGAAAAAAAAAAAAGAGGAUACAUACUUGAAAGGAUUUUUUCUAAUGUUACUCGGACUUGUGCCUAUUAGUACACCUAAAUGAUACGUUAUUUAUUAUUAUAUAAAUACACACACUAAUAUUUAUUACGCUCCUAUAUUUAAAUACUUUACUAAAUUAACUUCACUUUUGUGGAAGAAUUACUAUGUGAGAAAUCUCUUGAUAAGAUUCUGCCGACAUCGGUUUGCCAAACCCUACUUGAAAUUCCUUCCAAAAAAAAAAAACAAUCCUACUUGAAAUAGGAUUCCAUACUAAUCCAUUUCAUAAAUGACAUGGUGGCUCCACAAAUCCUUUUCCUAACUGUAUGUUAAUUAAGGUGAUAUGUAAACAUGCAUGUGAUACCUUUAAUCAUGCGUCUUCUGGGAUCAACUGAACAGUUUCAACUCCAAGAAAGUGAUCACUUCCAGAUGAAUAAGGCACAAUUUGGUGAAGAUUGAAAGGUUCAACUUUAACUUUAGUAGUUGUGGACUCGGCAGUCCAUUUCUUUACUAAUAAUGCUCUUGUGGAAGCCAUCACAAGUUCACAACAUUAAUUUCUGAAAGAGAUAUGCUAUAAUUAUAUGAAAUGAAAAAAAAAUAAUGACUCCAUUUAUUGCGUGGACAGAGUCUUACGAAGUAACGUGGGUCGGCAAAAGCUUAUAAUAAAUCACGAGCUGCAAUCAAUACGUUUCCAUCACCAUUACUCGGAGUUGUUAAGGGUAUUAAAUUAACAAUUUUCAGAAGAAUAAUGAUACACAAUUAGAAAAUUCUCAAUUCAUCUUAUCUUGGAUAUAUAACGUUCUAACGUGAAUAUAAAGCCUACAAAUUUAUAAGAUAUCUAGAUUUAAAAGGUAUUUCUGCCCCUAUGCAUUAUUAGUAAAGAUUUCCGCGAUUAGAGUUUCAAAAUUCUAACUGUAUAUUACCAUUCUUCUUAGAAAAAAAAAAAAUAGAGAGAGAGAAAAGAAAAGCUGCCAUUAUAUGGUGUGCCGUUGGGCUUGAUCUUAUCAUUUUAUUUCCCUACAAAAGUAAAAAAAAAAUUAAAAAAAAAGGCCAUAUAUCUUACCUCCAUCGUCUCCAUCAAAUGUAGAAACAAGUUCGAUUUGACAGUUUAUUAAGCUAGAAAAAGGGCAUCUGUGCAACAUGGGAUCUUUAGAUAUUCUGGAUUAAAGUGUUUGGAAGUUAAAAUUUGUCAUACAUCAAAACCUUUUAAUGAAAUUUAUAGAAGUGUAUCUGCCAAUUAAAAUUUAACCAAUUAAAAGAAAAAUGGUGUUGCAUCUUGGUCAUAAAUUGGGUAUGGCAAGUUUCCCCAUACAUCCAUUAGAAAAAAUCCUCAACCACUUUUUCAUUAGUUUUAAGUACUUUUAUUCAUAUUUAAGUAUGUUAAAUAUAAAAUUUCCCUAGCCUGACAUUGUGUAAUGUCAACUACCAUUUUGAGUUCCCUGUUGCCUUAGUCGUUCUGUCUACAAGAUUGUGUAAUGUCAACCCUGAGAUUAGUCAAUUCUGAAAUUGUGAAGCAGUCUUACCCUCUCUAGAAGCUUAUUUUAGGAUUAUAAAUUUCCUGUUUCCUUUUUUUUUUUCCCCUUUUGUUUAUAGGUUGCCAUUUUACUUUUUGAGUGUUUCCAGUAUUUAUAUAAAUAUAAACUUCAACUAUGUGAAAGCCAACAUCAGGUUUCAUGUUCUUUUCGGAUAAACUACACUCUAAUCCUAUACUUCUCUUUUCUAAUCUUAAUGUCAUUAUAACUUAUAGGGCUACCCAAAACUAUUCGUGUUUAGCAUUUUGCCCGUAAACUAUGAAGUACAGGACUAUGAUACCUUCAACAUACAAUUGCUUUGCAAAGUAGUGCAACAAUGUAAUUUGGCUAGAAAUCAAAUUUAGCUGUCCUUUUAUUAGUAAAAGACAAUUUUUUCCUCUGAUUAUUGUUUUCUAGUGAGAGAUAAAUAUCAAACAAGAUUUUAAAAAAAAAAAAAUUCAGCACUUGAACGGCUACUUUAAAAAGCCAAUGAUUGCAAUUUUAUUUAAUUAAAGAGCUUAUUAUCUUUUUAAUUGUGAAAGGCUAACUAAUUUCCCGCACAAAAUUUUUGUUGUUGAUCUAUGUGAUGAUGUAUUAUAAAGUUCUGAACUACUAUGUUUUUAUUGCAAAUAGUUUAGGGGUGUAAAUUACAGUUAACCCUAAUUUUAUAAGACGUUCUCAUUUUUUCAGGCUGCAAUAGCAACAUCUUUUAAUUUCUAGUAGAAAAUUUAGUAAUUUCUUUAAAAAAAAAAAGUUUACAACUUUAUUGGCCACAGCUCAUGAAUAGUUGGAUCAGACUGAGAAUUGGCAUCUAGAAUUGGUAUUCCAACUUCUGAUGCAUUCACCUUUCAACCCUUGUCCUAAUAACAUCAACCAAAACACAUGAUCGAAUCCCGUUACUAUACAUCAAUGUUUAUUACGAAAAGAUCAGCUGAAGCAAACUUGUAUUUGUUACAACGAAUUAAAUUGAAAGAAGAAUUCUCACAAUUUAAUCCAUGAAGCAAAAUCCUAAUUAGUAAAUUACAAAAUUAAUCGAGUCAAAUAAAUUGCAAAAUUACAAAUAAGAAUAAUUGCAAAAACUGAACCGUUUUUUGUCCUUGCUGCUACGAUCUUUAUAGUACUGAAUUUUUAGAUUACGUAUGAGAACAGAAUAUAGUUGAUGAUGGAUGACUGUGUAAUAAAAACGGCAGUAUAUUUUUUAGACCAACGUAAUUUGGUUGCCGACCAGUUUGGUCGUGUAACAUUUUUAACAGAUUUGGACAACAGAAACCUAACUACAUGGAGUAUUUGUCAAUAAUAUUAUGUCCUCGUCAAUUAAUCAAAAUUAGAAACCUACUAAGUGGAAUUACCAAAUGAAUAAAAUUGAAAUUAAACACAAGAUUACAAGGGAACAAAUUGAUCCCAAAUUUAGUGCGGAAGGUAUGAAAUAAGGAUCAUCCAUAAUGAACAUUAGGAGAAUAAGAUAAACUUGGAUGGGCAAUAACUCUUGUGAUGCAACCACAAAGUUUAUAGUUUGACCUGUAUUUUUCAGUUUAAAAAUGGAACUAUUACGUGUGGACGGCUACGAGGAGUCUUGUCCUAACAGCUAUAUCUUGCACCGACAUAAAUAAAUGGAGUUGUAGCAAAUAUAGGGAAUAUGCUCCAUAAAUUCUUGGUAAGUUUCAUUCACAACCAUACUAGUAUUAGAAUGCAUUGUUAUAUUUCUUAGUGUCUAUCUAACGGACGCUCAUUGAACACUCUUUAAAAUAUAUUUCAAGUGUUCAAUUUUUUUUUUUUUAAAAAAAGUGAAUUUUAUUAUAGAAAGUAUAUAAAUAUAAAAAAAUUAUUAUUAUUAGUAUGUGUAUAUACAUAGUAAAUUUGGUGUGAUUCGGAUGCGUGAACGAGUAUUUAUUAGACAUCCGUUAAAAAAAUUAUUUUUUAUACAAGUCUAUGAGUCAAAUCGAAAUAUGUGGAGCAUUUAUUGUACAAAGUGCUGCCAACUUGACAUGGAUAAAUGAAAGAUAAAAUUGAUAAGAUGAGUUAUCACACUAUUGUAUCAUUUAUGGAGCAUUUCCUUUUUCUUGAAGCUGGUAGAAUUAAAUUUGAGUAGUUGAAGUAAAACACUAGCAAAAACUCCGACGGAACUAGUCAACUACAAAAAUGAGUUGACUCAACGUUGAGUCAAAAUGGAUGCUAGGUCCCUUAUGGGGCAAGAUUUUUUUUUAUUUUUUUUUCCAAGAAAAACCUUUUGCUGCUCAAUUUUACGCCGCAAUAGUCAAUGGCCAAUUUGGACUGCUAAUCGAACUAAGCAAUUGCACCGACCUCGAAUCGUACAGUUCAUGCGGUUGCUCCUUUGUUAUUGGAAUUAUCCAAUUUUCAGUUGUCUUCACACGAUGGAACUCCUCCCUCCGUACCAAAUUGGGAGUUCAACUAUUGCCUACUGUAAAUCCUUGUGGUUUGGAUUCUCUCCCAUGGCUUAGUUGGGUCUUUUCCUUCCCUCAUAAUCACAAAAAGUACGCUAAUAUUAUUUGCAAUUUGACACAAAAAAUUUUGAGCAAUUUACAAUCCAUGUUACAAUCUAAAGGUGGUGAUAUAAGUAAUAACAAUGACCUUGCACGUAGAUCCUUGUACCACAUCAGUUCUUUCAAUUUUGCGGCUAAUUUGGUGUGGAGUACAGUGACAUCCUUUGCUUGCUAUCGAUAAUAAAGACUGACAAAUCUAACAGAAUAAGAAUAAAAGCAGAGAAUGACAACUAAUAUAUCUGAAUUUGAGAUGGAUUCUGAAGAAAGGUUUUGUAUUUAAAGCUUAUACAACAUCCCUGCCUGAAAAAACAAUUUUGCACAUAGUGCAUUAGGAAAAUGUAAUGGUGGGCACAAUUUACUAGUCGUCUGGUACAUAUGGUCCAAAUAAAGAGAAUUUACAGCCUUAGACUUGGAUAUUUCAAGGCCCUUCUUGUUUCCUUGUCUUUGCUCCUCUCUGAACAUGAGCAUAUUUUAAAGCAAACUCGAUUUUAUAACUUAAGCAUAUUGAGAAAAGACGUUUAAAGAAUGCAAAGACUAGCUUAACUGAAUUCCAGCCUGUAUAUCUAGUCUAUUCCAAAUGAGCCUAAUCAGGCUUAGCUCUUUUUAUACACAAUCUAAGAAUAACGUAUACGCUUGAAUGAAACACUUGUAGUUUUUCUGUUUUACUCACAAAACCUUUGUUUUUUGUAGGGUUUGAUGAUCGAGUAGUAAUUUGGAGCUAAAUGGAAGAAGUUUGAAGAAACCUUGAAGCGCUCGAGAAGUCACUAGUGUUCGUGGAAGCAGUUGCACAACAAGAGGAAAAGUGUUAAAGAGUUUGCUCAUGAAAAUUGUUAGAAUCCUGCCAUGGAUUGUUGGAAUGGAUUCAAUCCGUCCAUGGAUUGCAGUGGUAGAAGACUGGAUUCCAUCAGUGAAUUGAAGGUAGAGAGCAAACCAAAUGAGCAAGAAACAAGAUAGAAGAAUCCGGCUAUGGAUUGUUUCCAGGUGAGCCAGAUUUCAUGCAUAGAUUUAAGAAUGUUCAAAGCAGAGUUAGAAGAAUCUGGGGGAAAAAUUCAUUUUUCAUCCUCAAACUUUGUGACUAAGACACAUUUGGUCCCCAAACUUUUUGACUAGACACAUUGAGUACAUGUAUUAACUAUUUUUUGCCACAUUUAGUCAAAAAACGGGAAAAUUUUCAAUUUGGACGGUGAAACCCACGUGGCCGUUAACUUAUGCGUCGGGAAUCAAUGCAAGUCAAACUAAAGUCCACACAUUCUCUCUCUAAUGCAAGUCGACACAAAUAGUGGAGUUUUGGUGUUUAAAUCAGUCAACUACAAUAUCAGUUCCUCUUCAAUCAGCAAAAAUUCACUAUUUCUCCGACAUCCACCCUGUAGUUCGCAAAAAGGGAAUUGAGGAGAUGAUAACGAAUUUCCCUGUUGUUCCCAAACAGGGAACUGAGAGAAUUAAGGUGAUGAUCUCGACCAGUUUGUAGGAUGAUAUUCCAAAUAAAUUCAAGAAAGAUAUACCAUGCCUUAGGCUACACCUACUAAACUUGCCGAGUUUGCUACGGAGUGACCCAGUUAAAAUGCGUUCUUGCAAGCUUGACUAACUAAUGGUCCGCCACACAGAAGUAAUAGCAAAUAACAACAUGAUUUUUUAUCUUCACAAGCACCAUAACUAAUAACAGAAAUGAAAAUAGUCACAAAAUCAGCAGGGACUAAUCCUGUUUGUUGUCUUCUGAUGGGUUAGCCAGAAUAUAAGUCAGAUCAAGAGAAUAUUGUGUUGCUCUAAUUACCUGGAUCUCCCAAGGAAAAAACUUAUCAAUCUCACAAAGAGGGGCCAGAGUUCAGUUUUUGCAGUAGAAAAGAUGUUGUUAGUUUCCAAGUUACUCUUAUUUGAAGAUCCAGUGAGAGACUGUGGUGCGGCCUGCAAGGAGACUUUUUCAAAUGGCUUUAACAAAUCGAUGUGUGUCUCACUGGAAAGUGAAGACAGAUGGGAUGACCCGUUCUGCAAAAUCAGAAGAAACAAUAGAUUCCUAACUACUUAACUUCAAAAAUCAAAUUUAAAAAUAAAGCAAAGAAUUCUAAAAACUACAAGUAAAAUUACUGAGUUUACCUCCCUCCUUCCUCUUUUGUUACAUAGUUUUGGUAAAAAGGCAAGGAUGAAAAAAAUAAAAAUAAAAAAGAAGAACUCUUACCUCUUCAAAGAGUAGCAUAAGGUUAUUCCAUGCAUCAGGGAAAGGUUCUUUAACAGCUAAACUUCUCGUGCAGUGGUACAAUGCCAGGAAAGCAUCGCCAACAUAUGUUGCUAACAGUGCCAGCUGCAAAGAAACACAAAUUUUAAGAUCGAGGAAAUAUACAGUAGAAUAAGUUUAGCAAAUGAAUUUGAAUGUAGAAACUUCUUAAAAAUCAGGAUUAAACAAUUGCUCCAACUGUUGCCAAAGAAUCAAUCUAGAAAUGAAACAAGGUCCGCAGGAUGGUUUCAAAAGUGACUUUUGUUCGCCAAUUCAGGCUUGUCCCCAACACUAGUAGAGAAUUUGGAACUGAAAAUAGUGUAAGAGCAAAAAUGACAGAUACAAAGCUUUUCUAACAUUCUAGAGCUAAACAAAGCCUGUGUUCAUCAUUAAGUAAUAUGAAGAAACCUACUUGAUUAUGGGGAUUCCCGCUAGCUGGCCAUAUCCUGCUUGCUUCUAAGUAGUAAGUAAACGCAACCGACCAUUUAGAAGCAUCCUGUUUCUUACAAAGCUCGCCAUAUCUAGCAAGAUCCCCAAGACAUAUUAGAAAGCGGUGGCAUGCAAACUGACACUUGCUCAAUUUCAUUUGUUCAGUAGAAAAUGAACUGUCUCCUUUGUUAUACAAGAACACCUCCCCUGGCAGACCACAAACUUCUCUGAAAGCCUUGGUCAAAUUGCUAUAGAAGUCAGUCGCUUCAGACAGGAAUGUCUUGAAUCACUCCCAGUACACUCAAAGCUUCGUUGAAUCACUCCCCUACCUCUGCUAAUCUCACGCAGCUUUUCACUCCACAAGCUCGGUGGGAAAGAGAUAAACUUGGAGAGGAAAAGGAGCUCCACCCUUAGACUUUGAGUGUACUUUUAGUCAACAUUUUGUGUCGACUUGCAUUAGAGAGAGAAUGUGUGGACUUUAGUCUGACUUGCAUUGAUUCCCGAUGCAUAAGUUAACGGCCACGUGGGUUUCACCGUCCAAAUUGAAAAUUUUCCCGUUUUUUGACUAAAUGUGGCAAAAAAUAGUUAAUACAUGUACUCAAUGUAUCUGGUCAAAAAGUUUGGGGACCAAAUGUCUCUUAGUCACAAAGUUUGAGGAUGAAAAAUGGAUUUUUCCCAAGAAUCUGGCCACAGAUUAUGUUUAGCUUGGCCGGAUUCCUUGGACGGAUUCCAGGCGGAAGGUGAAAAUUCGUAGAAUAAAAUGGAGCAUGCAAUCAAGCCGAACUGAAAGACACAAUGCGUCCGCAGAUUAUGCCCGGAUUCGUAUGCAACAUGCGUAUCUUGCACUUUCUUUCAUCCAUCUUCAUGGAUAUGAAGGGAUGAUUUUGGCAGAAGAUUGCAGAUAAGAUGCAAAAGUAGAAUCAAUAGUAAUCUAACCCAUUAGGGUUAGAGAAGCUCCAACAAUUACAAGAAUGGAAGAAGUUUAUUUAGCAAACAAGUUUUUCUCUCAAUACUAGGUGGGGAGUGCCCGCGCAUUGCGCGAGUAUUUGGUAUCUGUUGUUAGAAAGAAUAUUUUAUUGGACAAAUAAUAGUACAUUAUGUAAAGAAAUAGUCAUCAAAUAUGACAAAUCUAAUAAUAGUAUAUUCUAAUUGCAGCACACACUUGUACACUUUAUUUUAUCAAUACUUUUACAAUUUUACUAUUUCCAAAAAACCCCUACAGAUGUUAUUUGAAAAUCGCCUAAAAACAGACAUAAGUUGUUGCAGACAAAAAAAAUAUUCUCCAACGGCUAGUUAUAGCAACGUAUUAAUUGCACAACGUGUUAAUAUAUCUUUGUGUUAAUUGCACAACAAAAGUUACAUUUCAAUUAAAUGUGUCUAUAACACCAUUUCAGUAAUUAAACCAACACAUAAGCUUAUAUGAGUUGUACUCGAUGCAAAAACUGUUGCAAAAUAAUUCCAUAUUCCAAAAAUAGCCAGAUAUCUCCAUAAAUCAAAGCUUUAAACGUACCAAAAUGAAAGCAUUUCGGUAAAUAUACCUAAACACAUGCUGCCCUCAAUUGUAUCAAAAGUUUUUAAAAAACUACACAAUAAUUCAUAUUUCCAAAAAGCCCCUAUCCAUGCAGUUGAAAUUCAAACUCCCUUUACCAAAACUCAUUCUUAUAUAAUAUAAGGAUAAGGAUUUGUCAUCAUGGCCCUGCAAUUCUCCGCAUUUGAUUCAAUUAGUAAUUGUUUUUUAUAAACAACAUGUAUCCUUUUAACAUAAUAAUAAUUUGCAUGUAUAAUAAUUUGGCAAGUGUAGGGGAAUGUUUUCUCCCCCAUCCCCACUCUUGCUCCUGACCCAUUGCUCGCUAUGGGAAUAUAUCCAUCGAUUAUGGGUUGUUUGCUAACUAAAUCCAAAAUCUAUUUUAGUUAUAGAGACAAAGAAAGAUUUUGCUAAAUGAAGUACUAUUAGAUUAUGAAGUUUACCGUACAAAAUGUAUGGGUAUUUAGUAAUAAAAAAUGUAUGUAAAAUUCUAAUGCUGUCAUCCUCUAUCAGUUUUGGUUCUUAGAUGGAUUUUACUAAAUCAAAUAACAUGUGUUGACCAAGAAACUUUAUCACAAAGUCAAUUGACAUAUUGUUAUUAACUCACUUUGCAUUAAUCAUAUACUAGUAAUCCAUGCAAUAAUAUACAAGUAUUAUAUGUAUUAUGAUGUGGAGAUUGAUCAACACAUUUUGAAAUAAAUACAUAUAAAUCUAAUCAAUAAAAUUUAACUUGUGUCUGAAUAUGUACAUCUUAUAUUAACUUGCAUAUUUGAAAGAGCAAAAGGUAUUAAUACGGUUAUUUUUCACGUAAUGACUACCUAACUAAAGGAGAUAAAUUGGGAAAAAGCAUAUAGAACACAACAAACAGCUAAUACGAUGAGGUAAUAGAAAGCUUAGAUCGUUGAUUAAUAAAACAAUGAAUGAGUCUUCUAACAAAAUUGCUAGCAUGUCAAGUAAUUCUUUACCGACCAUAGGCCAAAUGGAAGAGUAAAAGAAUUUGGCAAGACCAUCGACAAACUAGUCUUGAUAUUGCAAAAUCCUUUGGCUGUUGGUUAAAGUCUAGCAAGUCAGUGUCUGCAGUUUGUUUGUCACAAGUUUUUUUUUUCCAGAUUGUUUAUGCGUGUUUGGUGGUUGUAUAAAAUAUCUGCAUUUUCCACCAUUAGAAGAAGUAACAUUAGAAGAGAGCCUGUUGCAUAGUGUCUCAUUGCCCUCGCCUUAUAGAAAUGGGUUCUACUGCAUAUGUUUUUGUGCAAAUAUGACCCCGAAUUUUUUACGACCAAAAUAACGAUACUAGAUUGUUUUUAGGCGUCUCUAGCAAUUAAAGUUCGUUGAUUAUGCCACAGAAUCACCCAUGAAUUUGUACAGUGUUUAUUCAUCCAGUUUUUUUUUUUUUUGGAAAGCAUAAUUUAUAUAAUCACUUUCAAACCUGGAGCCAUAUUCAUCUCCACACCAGAAACUUUUGCUUGUUUUUUGAUAUUUUAUCUUUAUGUUAUAUGAUACGGAUAGCGAUUGCUUGACCCCCCAAGAAUAGGGAUCUUCCUCUUCCACCUCCUCAGUUAAUUUAAUUCAUACAUUAUUGGAAUUCAAGUUGCUAUCCUACUUAAUGAAAAUAAAUUGCACAUUUGGAUAAAGAAAAAUUUGACACCUCAAAGCCACAUACAAAACUUGUUUAAUAUACGGAGUACAAUUUUCAAUUCACAUCAUAAACAAGUGCGGUCAACUAUUUGGAUAAAUAAAACCACUUAAAGUUCGAAAAUCUUUCAAACAACAUAGCAAAUCAAGUUUGCAUAUGUAUAUAUUUCUAAGAAUACCAAUGUUUUUUUUUUUUUUGGCAAGAAUUUAUCAGCUGCUUCACUACUAAUGAUAUUUAACAUCCUCAUCUUCACAGUUGAGCUAAGCGACUAAUAUCCACGGGGUACGCAUCAGAUUGCUUUUCAGCUCUGUACGAUCUUCUUCCAACAAUAAUAUUUGCAGCUUCAGAUGGAUGAAAAGCAUCCCAAAACAAAUACUCAUCUCUAUUUGCACAUGGAGUUUGGAAAGGAAGACAAGUUAUUUGGCCAUUGUUUCUUCCAACACCACAGCACCCUGCAUUUGUCACCCUAAAACCUGCAUAUGGAAACAAAUAUCAACACACAAAUCAAGUUAAAUUCUGGUCGUUGACAAAAAUCAAACACAUCCCUACUUAUAAUUUUAUGCCAGGCACAAUGCACAAUAUAAAUCUAUAGCAUUUAUCACUCACAAUUCCUAGGAGCCCUUCUCCAAAUUUGGGCUUUACCUCCUUGAUAAAAAUAUCAUUUUAACCCUACACAACUUGCAGUUUACAGUACAAUAAGGAGAGUCCAGCACAGAACUGCUCCCAUUUUUAUGAUGGACGAGAGUUAAAUAAUAAUGUUCUUGAUUACAAGAAAAAGAGAAAGUCAGAUAACAAUGACGAAUGGAGCCAAGAAUAAUUACCAAAAGCUGAGGGAUUGUUAAUUAAAUCCUGGAAAAUGCCAUAAGCAUUGAUGUAGACAAACUUUGCGUUACUUCGGUCGUUGUUGAAUUGGUCCACCAAUCCCCUGAGUCCAUUAUUGAAUAUUUGAUUUGCGGAGUUAAUCCUCUGGACACAAGCUGUACCAUCAGGGCUAUUUUGGGCCAAUGCAUUUGGACUACAUCCAAUCUGACCCACUCCGAUCAAGGCAAACCUCCUUGCUCCAAAAUCAUAAAGCGUCUGCACAUGUAAAAGCCAGAAGAACCAAAAAAUUUGAGGCCCAAUUUAUAUGCUAAAACCAGGUACUGCUCUGAUCUUCUUCUUCUUCUGCUUCUUCAUUUUUUUUUUUUGAGCAUUUCAGAUUUAAUCAACAAUAAAAAAAGGAGUAAGUAGAGAAGAAGGAAAAUGAGAAUACUCACCCUUAUUUGUUCAGUAUAUUGUUCUAUAAGGACCUGAGAAUAUUGUUCAGGUGAAAAUUGCCUACUACUUGAGUAGUAGAGAGGCAUGAAAUAGUUGUUAAGGUAGUCAUUGCUGCCAACUCCAAUUGAAUAUAUGCAUUUGCUUAGGUAAUCUGCAGCAGAAUUUUCAUCUCCAAGAAUAUUUACCAUUUGCGAGACUGUAUUCUUGUAGUUGUUCACUUGUGCUGUAAAACUAAUCCUUGCACCCUAAAAUUUCACAAUGACCAAUGAAUUAGUAUACAUGUUCCCACUAUAUAUAUGUAUGUGAAAUGACGAUAGAAAACUUGUGAAAUCGUUAAAAAAAAAAAAAUUGGAAAAAGAUGCAAAUAGACCCUCAUACUUUUACUUAAUACAUUUCUAGCCCCUCGCAUUUGAAAUGAUGCACUUUGAUCUCACAUGUGAAAUCGUUGCAUUUUGGUCUCGAAGUCCAUUUUGAUUUUAUUCUAUUCCGAAAAGUGGACAGAAGUAUCAAAGUCCACUUUCUUUUUCUUUAUUUUUUGUCUUGGACUAAAAAUUAGAGGGUCAUAUAAAAUCAUUAAUUUUUUUUUUUUGGGGGAGGGGGGGAGUACGUCGGGAAAAAUGUAAUCCUUUUUAAGGUUUGGUGGCAAAGCACUCUCGCGUCCUCAGAAUUUUCAAGCAAAACUAGACCGAAAAUGGACGUUAGGACGAAAAUGUCUCAUUUUAAGUACGAGACAAGCAGAAAAAAAAUUAUAUAGCAACAAUGUGGGACUAUAUUUUGGUUUUGAAGAAACAAAAGUAGAGUUGAGUACCAGUUGUUGGCCAGUUUCUUCUCUAAUCCCAGCAGCUGCAGAUGCAUAAUUUACACCCUUUAAUAUCUCUUGGCCACUAACUUCUGCAUAGGGUGGAAUAGGAUCCUCGAACCCUAACAGCUCCGCUGAUAACAAAUCAUGAAAUUAGUGUACUAUUGACACAAGGUAUAGCAUUUGCAAUUGAUGCAAAAUUAUUGUUAAACAUCUAUACCAUAUAUUUUUUCUUUUUGGAAAUACUUCGCCAUGCAUUGAAGAAUAUUUUGAUUACUAAUUCACAGAGGAUACUAAUUUGUACAUUUCGCCUGGCUUAGCAACAAUAAUGAGCAGAGUAGGACCCUUAGAAUAAAUGCGCAAAAAAAAAUUGAAUAGAUUGUCAGAUAUGGAGCUUGUUAUUUGGACAAGAGUACCAUAUAGAAAGAGCAUUUCGAAUAAUGAAUUUGCUACAGUGGGCACCUAUUAUUUUUCUUGAACAAUCUUCUUGCUUCUUGUUGUUUGGUUCAAUUCCGUUUUAAGAUGGUCCCACUUGGAAAAAGUUGGUGUAAUAUUUUCUAUUUAAGGAUACCUAAUUUAAUGUCUUAGAACAAAACUAGGUGACUAUCAUAAUUUUUUGUUAAUGUGUUUUGUUGUAUAGAUUAUAAUUUUUCCGUUGCACUACUGGACACUAUUUUUUCCUCAUACAUAAAAGUUUACUAAUAAACGUAAAUAAAAAUGCAGUAAAACCUACCCACAAAAUUAGAAAGAAAUGAGGUAGUACAUUUUAUGGUAAAUUUACUUAGAGAAAAGGACUCAAAAGUCAAUUUAAAUGUAUGGUUCACUGUUCAUGCAACUAAAUAAAAGUAGAAGGGAAACUUGGUGAAAUAGAGGUCUCAUGAGAAGAGAUUCAUGGUGAAAAUGCAGACUUCAAAACAAAUACGUAUAAAACUGACUCCUAAAAUUCGCGAGCAGAUAUCGGCAUGCAUGUUUAAAAGAGCAAAUGAUUCUGGCAUUCUUCGCAGAAUACCAACCUCAUCAUCUAGGUUUACAAGCAGACAAAAGAGUGGAAUUGAGAGAAAGGAAUGGAGAUCCAAACCUAUAACAUCAACAGUGGUUUUUCCAUUGGAAAACCUUCCACUUGGUCCACCAGGAUAAUCAACUCCAUAAGGCAAAUAAUUAGCUUUGGCUAGGGAGUUGAUAUUAUUGUUAUUGCCAUUGUCUACAAGUGAAUCACCAAAAAUGAAGUAGCAAGGAACUUGGGGUUCUCCGUAGACUCCAUUAUCAAGAUUUAGCACCAACACCACCAACAACAGACACCCCACCAAGAAUUUUUUCAGCUCACCACCCCUUAGGGCCAUUGCCAUGCCUGAUGCCCACUUCAAGAGAAAUAUCCCACCCAAAAAGGUGUCACUGAGUUUUGCAGAAAUGAGUAAAGUAGCAGAAGGAGAAGAAACCUUUAGGUUAGUGGAGGUGUUGCUGAGUGAUGAAAUAUAGAAAGAUUGGAGGUAUUAUAUAUAGAAAAUUGUGAUCCAAUUAACGGAGAGAAUUGAGAGACGAUGAUUUAGCAAUUACUAAGUUUAUGGAUGCGAAGUCGGUAUGGUGCAUUAAAUACACGCGGGUAAGGUACUGUGAGUUUCCAGGUACCUUGUCUCACGCUGGUUCGUCUUUUUCCCCCUCUAUUGUAGUGUUUGGUAACCAAUUUGAAUUGGGUUUUUUUAGCUGGUGUUCAUGGUGGAUUAAAGAUGUUAAUUUUUUUUAAAAAAAUGAAGUUAAAUUGAGUAAGCGUCUUGUGUAAUAAGACACUGUAUAUGAAUUCAUGCAUACAUAUGGUACAUAUUUAAAUUUUGAAAUUUGAAUGAGAAAUUAAAUCGAGUUAAUGCGUGGGACACAGUAAAUAUGUUUAUAUAUAUUUAUAUAUAUAUGGUAAGAUGUGUGCAAAAAAAAAAAGGUACUAUUAAGGAAAAUCUUUGAAUAUAGGGCUUAUACUUCAUAUUUAAAGCGUUUACUUUCUAACUUUCUAUCUUUGAAAUUACGCAUUAAUGAUUUAGCAACAGUUUUUGAAUUUAUUUUUAUAAUUAGAAUUUACAACCAUCCGUUUUUUUUUCCUUCUAUAUAUUGAGAGGGAAAUUUUUUUCUAAGUUGUGUUUGGAUUGCAUUUUCCGUCAUUUUUCAUGGAAAAAUUACUGUAGCGAUUUGAUAUAUGUGAGGGAAAAAGGCGAUAGGGAAAUGUGAUCACGGAAAACGACAAUAUUUUCCGACGGAAACAAGCAAUCCAAACAAGGCCAGGCUGUCUGUAAGAAACAUGUUGUCAGUUUCUACGUGUACUCAAUGAACGAAAUAAUCACAAUAGCAGUUCGAGGCUAGCUCCAACUUUAUGAGAAUUAUUCUGCGCUUUGACUGGACAGUAUAGCUAGGGCAAAAGUCACUAUGAAAGUGUCCAAAAAUUAUACUCCCUCCGUCCCACUUUGAUAGUUCUGUAUUCCUUUUUCAUCUGUCCCAAAUUAUAGUCCACUUUCCAAUUGAAAAAUGUAGUUGUAUUUUAAUUUUCCUAAAAUACCCUUAUUCAAUGUAAGUAGUUGUUACUAUAAACCUACCCUAUUUAAUGAGAGUUGAUUCUUUUUUUACCAUCAAUUCAAGUUCCCAUAAAGUUGUACCAUAUUUAAUGUGAGAGUAUUUUAGGAAAAUAGCAAUCUAAAUUUACUUUUCCAACAAAGUUAACUACCUUUUUUUAAACUGUGUGAAAAAAGAAACAGGACUAUCAAAGUGGUACGGAGGGAGUAGUUAAUUUCCCAAAUAUAGUGUGUAACUUGAUUACAAGUUACAUAAUGACAGAACUCACCUUUUAUCUGGUUGAUUUCAUGUGAGAACCCGUACUUUUCUUAAUUUUUUGGUUUUAAUUUCUUUUAAUUGCACGUUUUUCCAUAUUUUCUUUAUUAAAAAAAUUUUAAAAAUAAAUUUUAUGCGUAAAUAUAGGUUUCAAAUGAUUUUUCUAGUAUCAGUUAGUUUUUGAGAAAUUAAGAACAUAUAUCGGACGUGGGACCCACUAGUGUGGAAAGUUCGGUAAAAUUUGGCCAGUUAGGUUAAGUUUUGGAUACCGAAUUUAUUUUACCAUGUGCUAAGAGAUAAUUAGAGGUUGUUAAAUGGAUGAGAGUGGAGAGACAAAAGGAUAAUUAUAAGCCAAAAGAGAUGCUAGGUGUCGCGUUUUCAUUGGACCUUGGUUUUGACCACUAUUCACCAACUUUACUAAAUACCAAAAAUUGACCAAAAUGAGUUUCAUUUUCCCUUGCUCUUGGCCGGCCAUGGAGGAGAGAAAGAGAGAGAGAGUUUCUUCAAUUUUCCUUCAUUUCUAGCUUGAAUCUUACAAACCUACCGGUUAAAUUCCAAAUUUCUCCACAAAAGUGAGUUGCUAAGCUAGUUUAAGGUGUUGAGUGGAGCCAUUUGUGAAGAACAAGCUCUAGUUGUCUUGUUUCUUGGAGUUGCAAAGGUGAGGUAUUAAAUAUCUUCCCUCUCAUGCUAAUAAUGAUCAAUUAAGGAUUUCUAGUGGUAGAGCAUGUCAUUUUAUGGAUGAUUUCAUGACUUAUUGGUGAGAUUGAUGGAUUUUUCUUUUGUUCAUGAAUUUUUCUGAUUUCAUAUGAUUGUUAUGGUGUGGCUAUGUAUGAUGAUUGGAAAUGAUCUAGAAUGAAGAUAGAAGGUGGAAAAAGUGGUUAAUUGCUGGAAAUUUCUGUUUGGGGAGGAAAAUUGGAAAACUAGGGUUUAUGUUCCUACAUUCUACCCGAUUUUGUAGCUCAUAGUUAGAGGCCGAAUUGGCCUUGGGUUAAAACAUGAAAGUUGUAGGGAAUGAUAUUUUAGAGGUUCCUGAAAAAUUUCAGGUCAAUCGGAGCAGCCUAGCUUGAGAAAAGAUGGAAUUAACCUUGAUGCCCUGGUUUUACCCGAAUUUGGGAAUUGCUUCUGUAAUUGGUUAUUUUGGUUAGGAAUGCUUCCGAAUUGGUUGUUGAGGUCUUCUGAUGAAAUGUAUCCCUAUUUCUUAGCUUUUAGAUGGCUUUAGAAUUUCUGGAUUUGGACUUAGGUAGGCUGAUUUAUGAUGUUUGCACUAGAAUGCGUUCUGUGAAUCUGUUUUUACAGUUCUGGGGUAGUAUCUUGCAUUUUUGACCUGGUUACACUCGAAACUGGGCUGAGUGACCUUCUACAAUAUUGUAACCCUAUCUCUUAGCUUCAAAAUAGUGGGUCUUGCACUUUCAUCCGAUAAUCGUAGUGCCAUUGGUACCAAAAUCGCAAAAUGACGUCAAAAACUGUUUUUUUCGGGUUAACGCUUAACUCCAUUUCCGGAUUUUUCUGAUUUCCUCUAAUGUUUAUGUAUGCUUAUGGAGCCCUAUUUUGGUGGUAUUUGGAAUUGGUUUAUGACUUGUCAUUGAGUCUUAUUAUGCUUAUUUGAAUAUUUUAGGGCUUGACUUUCAUUUUCGGACUUUUCCCUAGCUUGAAUGGUACUUGUACUACUUGGAACUUACUAAACGGCUAGUGAAUGAACUUAUGUUGUGUGUGACUUUGGGACUGGUUGAGAAAAAUAAUGAAGCCAUGACGGCUGGAAAAGUAAGCAAAUUUAGGGGAAAUGCUGUCCAAUUUUCUAGGCCGUUUGGUUCCUUUAAGUUUGAAUUGCCUUUUGGUAGAAAUGAAGGGCGUUUGGGUUGUUUGAACCUAGGUUUUCAUGUUACCUUUCCGUUUCCAAAAAAUCAUGUUUUGCACCCUUGCAUUAAUAAUUAUUUGGCGAGGCAUACGACUGGUAGUCGAGCCUCACAUGUGCAUUCUGUAUACUUGAUUUUUGAAAGUAGAACCUUCAAUUGUUUUCCUUGGAUUAUUUUAGGGUUUCUUGGUGAUUAAAACUCUCUUUUGGGAGGUAUCUGUACUGACCCCGAUGAGUAUUCCACUACCUGCUACCCGUUAUGUGAAAUAUCUGAAUAUCUGAAAUACUUGAUUUAUGACUGUUGGAGCCAAAUACUGUUUUGAUAAAAAUGGAGGCGAGAGUGUAUUUUAUCACACUCGUUCUUUUGUCUGUUCAUAUGCCAAUUUUGAGUGUGUAUCUGAAUCUGCUAUCUGUAUCUGGUAUCUGUAUCUGUAUCUGUUCUGACGUCGUUUGGAAGCUUGUAUCCAACGACCUUUCUGUGACCUCUGAGCUCAACACCUGUGGCCAAUUACUCGAGUCGGGCCGGCAAGGGCCUGGUCGAUUAGAUAACGAACCACGGUAGUCUAUUUUGGGAUUUUUGGGUAUUGAGACCCUCGAUUCCGGUAUACUCGAAUAUUAUCAUUUCUGAUCUGAUUGGAUUUCGGGUCCGGUAGGGGUAUGUGAGGUGGAAGGAAUCGGGGAAAGUGGAGUCUACGGUAUUGGUUACUCCUUUAGCGUUGACGGAGUGUCAACUAUUAUUUCGAUCAAGCUUCGGUGACGCAAAUGGGAAUUUGGUUCUUGAGAGCCACCUGUAUCCUUCCUAUUUGAAUCAUUGGUUCCUUUGCUUUACAUCUGACAUGUGUACCUGAUUUGUUAAAUGUGAAAUGCCAUGAUUUUACUGCUAUAUGUCUGGUACCUCAUUGAGCGCAAGCUCACCCCUUUCUGUUCCUUUUGUUUUCCUUAUAGGAAAAUAAAUACUUUUGGACUGGAUUUGAUAGUUGGUUGCCGAAUUGAGCUAGUUGGACAUAUAUUUUGUAUAGCUCAUUUAUUGAAACCCUAAAUGUACUUUUGGGACCGUUUCUCUUUUGACUUGGCAAACCAGACAUGUAUCCACUUUUGAAUACUUUUGUAUGCCACUUUGACUUGUAAAUGCUAAAUUUCAAGAUGUGAAUGUUUGCUUGAUAUUUGGUUGGGUUCUGACGGGUCGGUUACUAUUCAUAGCCGACUCCGGUUUCAUUUUUUUUAUUUUGACAUUUUGACUUGUUUACACGCGUUUGUAAGUUCCGGAACGUAUUAGCUCGCUCUAAACUAAACCGUUAGUCCUGGCGAGAGUUGGGCAGGCAGUCCGCUAACCCCUUUGGUUCGCCUUAGGAGAAGGUAGGGCUGUCACAUUUCAGAACUUUCAAAAGUAAAAUUUUCAUCACAGUUAAGGAAAAAAAAAAGCGGGGAAUUUCAAAAUUCAUAGAGUAAAUAAUUGUGAAAAAAAGCGGGGAAUUUCAAAAUUCAUAUAGUAAAUAAUUGUGAAAUAAUAAGACGAAUCUUUUAUGCACUAUCUGUGUAUACAUUUACAGACCUAAAUUCAUAUGCUACGAAAAAAUUAAUCCUAAUAAUAUGUGCUAUAUAAACCACUAAUCAUUGUGCAUAUGUUACGAAUCAUCCAUAAUAAUGUGCUUGUUUCAUGGUCUAAAACUCUAUUUGAACUUAUCAUUUAUAUCAAAAACUUAUACUAAGUGUGGAUUCGGGAUGCAGUUGAUUUGGAUUCAUCCCCUUCUAAAAGAAUUCGUGACGGACAAAUCUAAACUCCCUUACAGCAUGGUUGAAUCAAUAAUAGUCUGCAUACAGUGGCCAGCAAACGAUUUGACUUUGUUUUCUUCAUCACUAAUCCAUUACCCAAGUAAACGCCUAAACGGUCAAGUGGUCUUCAAGAAGUCCCGGAUUAACUUUUCAAAGUCAAUACCUUACUAAUGUCGCAUUCAAAUUCUUAAUUGCAAAUAGAUGCUCAUCGUUACAAUGGUUUUCGUGAUUUUGCAAUGGAAAUUGCGAACAUAAUGAGUUCACAUUUUGCUCGGAUAGUCAUUUACUAGUCGGUGCAAAAUGUUGGCCAGUGAACAAGAGAGGGCUUUUAGAUUUUUUUUUUUUCUCGCUAUCAUAUUCAAAUUUACCUGAUAAUUGGGGGUGGGAAGGUUGAGGUGAGAGGUAAAACUAUCUAGUUCUUACAUUUCUUUCAGGGAAAUGGAAGGGUUUCAAAGUACAAUCUAGGAUCUACGGUUUUAUGGUAUUGUCCCUAUUCAUUGAGUUGGAGUUGGGAGAUAAUUGUACAAUUUUGCUAAAUUUGGUCGGAAUAAUACCAACUGAAUUAGGUUUCGGAGACAAGGUUCAUAAGUUGCUGAUUCUGCUUUGUAAAUUUGAGGAAGCUAUCCCAACCAUUUAACAUCUGAGGAUGGGCAGUGAGACAAGAACUGGGACAAACUUUUUGAUGUUGGAGACAUUUUAUUAUUGACAAAGUCAAACAAGUAACACUGGAGCAAGCAAACUGCACAAGUAUCCUCCUACCUAUUACCAAUGAGGCAAUCACAACCGCCACGUGCUCCAGUAAUAAAUUGGAGUUACGAGUAUUAAUAGUUACACAUGAUUUCGCUGCCCACGACCCAUGAUCCACAAUAUACAUUGGAGUAUUAUUUCGUCGAGAAAAUUAUGCAAACUACUACCACUUCGAUUCGUGCUAUCCAUAAAUUAACAUUUUUAAUCAAGCCGAUAAUGAAGUAACAUUUUAUUAUAUGAAGAGCAAAAAAGUUACUAAGUUUAAAAAAAAAAAGUGAUGUUUUUGUAUCAAUUUCUAUCACAACGUGUCAUUUCAAUUAAAAGCGAAGUGAAAAUAUUUUUCCCACCCAUCAAUCGAGAAAACUAUUUUUUGUAGUUAAAAGCAAAGUGAAAAAAAUUUUCCAGCCCAUCAAUUGAGAAAACUAUGAAUCAGCACAUAGGAUGUUCAUAAUUAUAUAUAUUCUCACGAUCGCCUAUUGUCUUUUCCAUUACAAAAAAAAAAAAAAAAAUCCUCUUUUCUUUCAUAUUGCCAACUUGAAAAUUCAGAAGCCUUGUUGAUUUUUUCAUUUUUAUUUUUAUUUGGUGGAGAGAGUACCGACACAAGAUCUUUGCUCUUUUGCCUUCGUUACCAUACUGACAAUUUAUCCUUGUUUAAAGUAAAUUUUACUGUCAAUUUAUCCUCUUUAGUAUCAAAAGGUAAGCAACAUUCGACUAGCACAAACACAAUGGGAAAUCACCUUUUAUAUUUAUGACACGAACAAUCCACAUGGCUUCAACAGACUCAUUUACUUUUUCAAAUCGGCCAACACCAAAGUCUUCACAUGUUUUCCUCCUGUUGCAUUAAACUCCAUGCAACGCGGCUGUUGGACAAGAAAGAUAUUCAUACAUAUAUAACCUUUUUACAUGGCAGCACCAAAUUUAACGAACCUCUAAACCAGCCCCACUACCUCCCUUAAAUUCCUAUAAUAUUCCCGUAAAAUUUUGAUACAAUUUCAAGUAUGCCCUCAAAAUUUUAAGAAAGUGAAAAAAUUAUGUGAUUUUUUAAAUUAUUUCAUGAAUUAAUAUUCUAAAAGGAUACAUGGAUCACAAAAUUUCAUUUGAAAUAAACUACAAAAGACUUUUCAUUUUAACUAAUUGAUGAAUAUUUUUUUUGCUUAAAAAAUUAGAAAUAGAGCCGAUAAAACAUUUUAAUAUUACAUUUGUCGCCCCUGAAAAUUUUUUCUAGCUCUGCUCUGAACCACGAAACCCAUGUCAAGAUUUUGGCAGCUAUAAUUCAUAAACUUCACCAAAUUAUACGCUCUGGAGAGUCAAAUCAGCAGAUUUGGAGCAUUUAUAGUACAAAGAGAUGCCAACUUAAGAACAUUAUUACUACUUGGCAGAUAUGGAGAAUAUGACAGAUGAUAAGAUGAUUGACUAUUGUAGCAUUUAUUGGGCAUGUGAUUGUGGAUUUUCUGAAGCUGGUGCAAUUAAUUUCUAGCAGAGUAGUUGAGCAACAUUAGAAAGAGAUGCUGAACUGGUCAAAACUCCAAGAAAGGGCAACAAGCUUGAUCUACAACAAUUAGGGCUGCAAUGGUUGCCGUAUCUCUUUCACUUGCACCGAUGGAUGCUUUACCCUUUUUUCUGCUGGGGGACAAAACUGUCAAAAAAUAACAAUAAUCUUGUGCAUAGGUCCCUCAUACACGUUCAGUUCUUCCAGAUUCCGGGCCACUUUAGCGUGCUAUGAGGAGCAGGGAAACACCAUUUGUUGCUGAUAAAAACGCGCGCAAUAACUCGAGAAGGUUUUCAUCUUCAAAAUACAUCAUGCAUGAGUGGAAUCCAACUUUGCAUACACUGGAUGCAGACACAGAAAUGAAAUCAGAAGGCCUUUUCCUCGUCUCCUCUUGAAGUUGAAAAAAGAAUAAUACAUCUAAGCAUAAAAUCAAACGAAGUUACUGCAGAAUUUAAGCUACUUGAUCAGCAGAAUACCAACUUUAACUUCUAUUUAACAGAAAGUAGUCAGACGAAAGGGAAAUAUUGCAGCUACUAGUUUUGUUUAAGCCCCAACAUUCAGCAGCAUUAGCUAAUAUACGAUUCAUGUCUCGAUAAGAUAAGCCACCAGCUUUGACGGACAGACAAGUUAAUUAAUUAAUAACCAAAAAGAUUGAUCACAGAAUAAGCCAAGCCUUUCCUGGAACUCAAAAUGAAUCCAAUCCCUGCUGAGUGUAAGGAGCCCUCGCACAAGCGUGAAUUGUGGUAAGCAAUGCUUCAUGAGCAAACACUGUCAAGAAGGAAAUACAGAUUGCAUAUCGCAGCAUGGUGAUUAAGCAUUCCUAAUCGUUUACAGUAAUCACAACAACAUCUGAAAUUCUAAGUUGUGAAUGUAAAUGUACCUAUCCUUGACUUGAGCUCUUAUCUUGGAAAAAAGAUAGUCAACAGGUAGAAUUGAUAAUACAAUAGGAGUUGAACUCUUACAAUUUCAAAUGAGGAUGUAAAUUUAAAAAAAAAACACACACACACAUAUUCGGCUCUUUCAGUUUUUUGGAGCUGCUUUAGCAUGUAGCAGGGAGCAGCGUAACAUCAAUUACUUGUUGCUGAUCAAGACAUUCGUAAUACUCCAGUUAAUGAACUUAAGAAAGGUUUGCAUAUUCAAUAUACAUCAUCCAAGAACGGAAGACAACUUCAAACAAAGUUCUGCCAAUAGAAGCUAUGUGUGAUGCAGAAAAUUUCAGCCCAUGGAAUUGGAAUCAAAAAGACCUUCUGUCUCCUCUUGGAAGUGUUGAACAUAAUUCACAAGAGGUUAGAAUCAAAGUUCUGGCAAAACUUAAUUUGCUUCAUCAGAAAAUAGAACUUCAACUUCUAUAUCUAUAAGAAAAUAGUCAGCCAAAAGGAAAAUCUAGCAGCAAGUGGGGCUAUUUUGAAUGACUAGCAGGACCUUCUUUAUGCCACUUGAGCCAAGUAUAAUUACAGCAUUCAGCAGCAUUAGGUAAUAUAGUUUGGUGACAUGUCUCAAUUAGAUAAAGUAUCAGCUUUAAAGAACAGCUUGACUAAUACUGACACCAAAUAGACAGCAGCUCAAAAUCAUUUCUUUAUUGUUAUUUAGAAUGCUUGCAGUGCUUUGCCGGAAAAGAUGCAUCAGCUACUUAUGAGCUCAAAGUCUAUCCAGAUAUUAAUUUAGUAAACAGGGGUCACGUAGAAAAAGAUGAUAGUCUAGGGACUGAAUUAUCAAAUUGAAGUUCAAGAUGAAAAGUAUUGCAAGUAUAAUAAUGCGAGGAUGCAAAAUGGAAUCAGUCUUUUCUAAUUCAAUUUUCUUUUCUCAUUUUACUCUCAGAUUUGCACUCUGGAAGUUCUCAUUCAGCUCUAGUCAUGUAUAAAAUUAACUUAAAAAUAGAAAGAAUACAUGGAUAGAAAAUGAUGAAACUUUCAAAGCAUGAAACUUUUCACAUCUCUAUGAUUCUUAAUGUAACAUAACCAGAGUCUAAGGUUGAAGGUGAGGGCCUUUAGCUAUGAGGAACCAGUUUGUAGGACAACUCCGGUCAAUGUGAAUAUGUAAUCUGUCCAAAUUUGUUGAUACUACAUUUAAAAGAACAAUAAGAUAGAUAGAUGCCAUUUAGAGUCCUAUAAGAAAAUCAUGAUUGAACUUUUUUUGAAAAGAAAGAAGUCACACAUAUUACUAUACUGGAAACAGGUUCUCAUACCAAUAUUAUAGCAUAGACAUCUUAUUAAGAGAAAGCUGUAAUUUCAGAGAUGCAUCACAUAAUGUUAAGUUUCAAAUACACACAACCCAUAGCAAAUCAAGAGCAAAAUUGCAACUGACUUCCACUUACAAGAAACAAGCAGGAUGUGAUAUGAUUCUCAUGCGAAGAAAAGCGCACAUACACAAAGAAACCCGAAAGAGAGGAGCUUAUAGCCAUAUAAAAUGGUAGCAGACCAAAAGAUGCAUAUCACUGACCAAUUUGACACAAACUGAUACAAUCAUUAUGUGAAAUUCAUCAAACUAGCUCAGCAGGUAAACUACAUUAAAGUACGCCAGGCAUUUUUUCUGAGUCAUUAUAUUCAGGAUACAGACUCUUUAGGCUAUUGUUUACCAUAUUGGAGGGACAAUGAUCUGUUUGUGAAAGAUAAGGUUUAAAUCCUUUUUCAUCAGAAGACCUCACAUUAUUGCAUAUCUUAAUGUCGUUUGACAUAUCUUGACACCCAUAACACUCCUAACAUAAUAUUCUAGCAAAGCAAAACCUAUUGGUCAUAAAAACAGCAUGAUAAUCAUCCAAUUCUGUAUCUGCAAUAAUUUAGUUGCUAUUUGUUUCUUAAUACAAUUUAUAAGCAUUUGAGAAAUAGAUACAUUCUCUUUGCAAUCUCUUAACAAGAUAUUCUCAAUGAAAAUGGAUCUGACAUAUGAUACCAAUAUCCAACACUUUGAAUUGAAAUCUUAAAUUAUGAUUAGCUGAGAGAAUUCAGACUAUGACUAGCUGACCAACAUCCCGUUCAUGCCCUUGCACAAAAUCAUGUCAGAGUUCUAAGAGAAUGCACUGCACAUCACUGUACCAAAUUAUUGACCUCUGUCAAUCUCCCCACCCUUUGAAACAAGACAUACAGACAGAAGGCCAUAUUACCCAGCAACUAAGUCUUUAUCAAUGUCCCAGACAAAACAAGAGGAAAAGAAUAGUCCAAUAUGUUCCUUUAACAUUUCUACACGAACAAAAUAAAUUGAAGAGAUAAGAAAACACAAGUUUGCAAUUGUCACAGUGAAUUCUGAGAUUCAGUCCAUUAGAAGAUUAAUAUCCCCCAAUGCUAAACGAGAAAGGUGCCCAACCCCAUAUUGUUUCUCAUCAUAGCUUAUCCCUACCUAUACAUUAACUUUUAGAAGAUAAAUUUACUGACUUGAUUAAGAUAAUUUAGGCAAGUCAAAGGUAAAAACAAACUAAGUUAAAAUGGCUGACUGAGGCUAGCAAAAGAAAGGGUUAGACUAAACAUUAUUAGGAGUGGUUUAACUAAAACAGAUUCAAGAUUUAUAACUAUACAGGAAGUAUUACACUAAAUAGAGCCAAAUGGAAGAACUGAACUCAUCUAGAAGAAAGAUUAAAGCUUGAAAGAUUACUGUGGUGGAACUCAAUUUGGGUUAAUUUAACAUGAUAUUGUUCAUGUUCUCACCGCUUAGAUCACCAUUCAGUAGGUACCUAAGUAACAAAUUCAAGCAACAAUACAGAACAUAAGGCCAUGCAGUUUCCAGUUAGCAAGGUUUUCAUUGAAAUGCCUCCCUAGAAAGCCAGUUUCACACAACCUAGAGCCAUUCGGCUUUCUGUACCAUUUAAUCUUUCACUUGACAAGCAAAUUGGAACAAAGGAAAAUUUAACUUCUCUAUAGUGAAAAAGAGAAAGUAACAUAACUCCAAGUUUACCCUCGGUGAUAAGAAGACUACUUACAAAACUAGGCAAACACAAAGAGGUUGUCUAUGCCACAUGAUUUGUGGCUUUUUGUUCCACUUCUAAAAUUAGUUCAGAAUUCUGCUUUUUACCUUAUCUCCUUGAGCCAUUCUGACAUCAUUGGAUGCAGAAAUGUGUUUUUCCCAUUUAUUGUACCAGUUCAGUAAGGAAUUUCCAAAUUGUCCUUCGCCUUUCUUGUUUGUGAAAUGUUGGAGCUUUCUUCCUUUGCUAUUUUCUGAAAGUUGCCCACUGUACUAAUUUCAUCCUAUAAGCAAGAGUAUACUCCAUCCCCUGCCUUGGGAAGCUAUUGGCACAGUUUAAAAGCUCCAAGUAAGAGAUACACCUAUUGUAUAAAUGGUUUCUGUGAUUGAGCUCUAUGGAAGCCAUCUUUAGCUGCACACAUCCCAGAUUAAUACUUAUUUCUAGAAAUCUACAAUUCCCUCCGAAAUGUUAUGUGACUAUUUCAUGAAAUAGGAUAAGGAGUUGCAUACUUCCAAUAUAUCAUUCCUAGAAGACAAACCUUCCUUCAGAGUGGAUGAUGCCAGUAAAAUUGCUGCCCUUAAAUUCGGCAUAAACAUUUCAGAAGAACUCAGAACUUCAAAUUCGAUCAAAACCAUGAGUGAAGUGCCCCAAAUAUCAGAUGCAAAACUUAUAGUCAUGUUCCAUGAAGCUCCAAAAUUGGAUUCCCUUUUUUGCUCCUUUAUGUUUUUCAUAAACUUAACAACUUCUGCUUGAAUGAUAAGGGCAAGAAUAUAAAGAAACUGAUUCAUUAGGGCACGUAAAUCGACUUGAUCAACGUUAUCUACUCCAUGAAACAGCUUGGAAUUUAUACUCAUAAUCUGCUGAUAACAUUCUCAUAACUGUGAAAAUACAAAAGCUCAAGCAUAAUCUUAAAACUCAAGUAGAUCAUUUCAUUUACUCCAAGCUUUUUGUAGAAGUCUUAAUAACAACCAAAACUGCUUUUUGAUAACAUUUUGAAGUGACUACAGGAUAGACAUACACAAGCAAAAGGUGUCUUCAAACCCUGAAUUGUUCUCCCAUAAACUCACAAACAUGAGAUGAUCACAAGUCAGUUCUGCUAAAUGUCGAGGCAGUAUACUGUGCAGCCAUGUCCUUCAGAACUUGGAUCAAGCCCUUCAAGUCAUUCGUACCUAACUCAAGACAGUCCCUUAACAAGUCACCCUCCACCACCUCUUUCUGCAUUGUCUCAACAACUUCCCUAAAGGGUCCCUGCGCCAUACCCAUUAAAAACCUUUAAAAAAAUCAUCUUUACAUGGAAAAACAGUGCUUUAUUUUAUAUUUCUAAUCACUUCCAUCUGUAAGCUGCUUACCAUGUUCCAGAAACUUGUACUUAAACUAGAAAAUAAUAAAAGAAAGAGAACUUCAUCCAAAAAUAAAUUCACUGAACUUAUUCAUUCAACUUGAUAUUUAAACAAUCCAUUAUUCCCAUAAUCACUGCAAUGAAACAUCUUUUAACACUAAGCACUAAUUCUGUUAAUUUUUGUCUAUUUUACAAACUUUACAAGCUCGAUUUUAAUGCUUUUCUUUGAACAUAUGGCUAUUUUCUACAAUACUUUAGCUCAUUCAUCAACUAAAAUCUUUCAAAACUUAGCUGAAGAGACCUUACCAUGUCACAUAAUAGCCAUACAAGAAAGUUUAACGAAAAUGGCACGCUUUAAUCUCUAAUUCAUAAAAAGAGCAUAAUUUUGGGCUCAUUGUUAUAAAAUAGUAAUUUGUACUCACUUUUCUACAAAAUUUACACUCUUUAUUUACAUUUAACAAUUUGUAGACAUGUCCAAAAUUAUGCUUUUUUAACUAAGCAUCGCAUCCCCCCCCCCCCAAAAAAACACACAUAUCAAUGCCAGGAGAAAAUUUUUAUUAGGUUUAAAUUGCAGAAGUUGGGGAAAUAAUAACUCAAAAAAAUAGAGAAAAAAAGCAUUACCGAUUGUCGAAAUAUUUUGAGGAGUUUAUCAAACAGCGACCUGGAAACGGUGAAGACUCUAUUAUAGUUUCGGCCGACCCAGGCGACUCGCUCGGAAUCAGAGCCGACUCGGGACAACUCGUUGAGCUCCCUGAGCAACUCGUUAAGGUCGGAAACGGCAAAGGAGAGGUCAGUUAAUGAGACCGUAUUGAUAUCCCGCCAGGCGUAAUUUUUAAGAUAGUCCGAACCGAGGUUCCAAGUGAACUUGCAGAGGCCUCGUCCCUGAACUGACUCGAUUUUGUGCGCUAUAGUUCGGGCACGGGCUGAGCCCGUGAAGUCGCCUCGUGAGGCACGGAGGUUGGCAACUCGCAUAGCGAGCGAGUGGGAUAGGGAAAGGAGAGUGCCGUAGUUGGAGAGAGGGAAGGAGAGGGAAAAAGUGGGUGAUGGUGCGAAGAGGAGGAAGAAGAAGAGGAGGAGAGAGAAGAGUUUGUUUUUCAUGAGAAAAGUAAGCAUUGACUGAGAGAGAAGAGCAGCGCCGCUUUCCACGGUGGCGGUGCUGGAGGACCGGCGGUGGUUCGGAUUCUUGGAGAAUGGCGGGGAACAGAGGCUCCGUGUAAUUAUAUCAAACGACUGAAUAAUUAUUAGUAAAUAAUUAGUUUGUUUGAAUAUAGUAUUAUUUGGAAUAAUUACAGUAGAAUAUUUCGUUUGCAUCGUAAAUAUAUUUUUCAACCCAUAUUUUUAUAUUUUCAAUCGCCUUUUUUUAUCUCACAUUCUACUUGCAUCAUAAACACAUUUUUCAACCCAUAUUUUUAUAUUUUCAAUCACCUUUUUAUCUCAUAUACAUCACAUCAUAAAAAAUACUACAAUAAUUAUUCCAAAUAAUAUUAAUCCCUCCGUCCUAUUGAAAGUAUCUUAUUUUCCAUUUUGUGAUGUUUCAAAAUAUUUAUCCUAUUGAGAAAAUCAAGAUAUCUUUUAGUCUCUUUUUCUAAUAUAGUCUUUCUCUAUAUACAUAUACGUGUUACUAUUCAAAUUCAAAUUUUGAAUUUGUGUGGAUAAAAUUGGAAAGAAAAACACAAAUAUCACAAUCAAAUCACUAUUUUUUAAAAGUUGAAUUUUCGAAAUAUGAUUAAAUAAUUGGGACGAAGGAAGUAAUAAAUAAGACAUGCUCUGAUUAGAACAUAGGCUCCGUGAAUAACUAGAGCAUUAAUUAACUAUUAGUAAAUAAUUAACAAAAUAACUGUUGAGAAUUUCUUUAAUGGUGAACAGCGACAUAUAAUUAUAAAAUAACGCCAAUUGAUAUAUCAAAUGGCGCUAUUUUGUGAUCGAUAAAACUUGAUAAUGACAAGAAAUUAGUUGUAUACAAUAUCAGAAGAAAACUUUGGUAGAAUUCAUGUGGAAAUUUUCUUUGAAACACUUGAACUGUAGUAAUUGUAAAGUAAUUUCGUGAAAAUAAAGAAUAAAUGAGGGAAAAGAAAAGCAAAUUUUGAAUUUUUUUUAAAUUCAAAAUCACAAAAAUCGUAGCAAAACUUAUAUUAAGAGAAAUGACUGAAUUUGGCGAUUAUUAGUGUAGUUUUGUUGCUUAUUUAUGUUGUAUAAUGUAUUAAAUGUGAACUUUUUGAAUAGUGCAAUAUAUGUGUUAAUUGUUUCUGACUUUUAAUUACUUUCAUUCUUUUACUAAUAUAACUUAUAUACAUGCAUAAGAAGCAUUUAUGGAAAAAAAGUUUCAUUUUUUCCCAUAAAGUACACUUUUAGUUUUACUUGGACUAAUGCUGUUACCAAAACCCUAAUUUCAGAGGAGGUUUGUGUAAUUUUGCAAACUUUAGGGGAAGGUUAGUGAAAUUGUCAGAAACCUCAGGGAAGGUUUCUAAAAUUAUCUCUUAAUAUUUUUUGUCAUGAUAAUUGGUACAAAACUUUUCAAGAAAAGAAAAAAAAAAUUAAAGGCAAACAAAUGAAAGAUUGAAUGUAGAUGUUGAUGAAACUUUGAAAAUAAAUAGUUUUAGUUGAAAUAGUUCUUUCUUUGAAUCUACAGUAUUGCAUUCAACAUCUUGAAUAUUAAUUUUGUUAUUUAAAAAUUAAAAUUGAAUUAUAUUUAUGUAAUUUUUAACUAUAUAUUUUCAAAAUAUUUUUAUUUUAGUUAUUAUUCACUAUAUGUUCAGAAAAAUAUCCACAUAUAUCUAUUAGAUAUUUAGACUCAUGAAGGUCUAGGUCUAGGUCUGGAUCUACUUUUUUUAAAUUCCAUAAGUGUUUGAGUAUGGAUUUGGAUACUUAUAUCCUAGUUAUAUUUAUUUGGAAACUGGGGACUAGGAAGGAACAUGAAGUUAUGUUUACGAGACUGAAGGCCUAACUCAUUGAUGGAGACUAGGAACGACUUUGUACAUUGAUGGAUAAUUUGGUUAUCAUCUCGUGUCAUCUCAUCAAAUUAUUAAAGACUCAAUUUAAUUAGAUUCACGUCACCGUAAUAACUUUUCUGAUUCUGUAGUUAAUAGUACAUGACUAGAGUAAUAAAGAAUUUUACUAGUUACACUCGCCCUCAUUUAGUGCUGUAUCGAAACUAGCAUGAGAAUUUAUUCAUUCACCUGCAGACUUGUUUAGACUUCAAAACGUUUGAAGGCCUAGAAAGUAAAGCAGCAUGCAUAGGACAGCAGACCAUAACAUUUUCAAGCAAGGGGCUCGAACUCCAAAGGGGAUUGGGACAAUUCGAGCAAAUGGCCAGGGUCCGUUGGUUAAGUGCCAGUCUCAUUCAUUCGUUCAUGCAUUCAAUUGUUCAUGUGAUUUGGAGUAAAGGCAAGGCAGAAAAAGUGGCAGGGGUAAAGAUGAGAUGACAUUGACAGCAACACUACACUCUGUUUUUCCAUUCCUACCACUUCCGGAGACUCUUGCUAGGACUGUCAAUGGGUUGGAUCAGUCUGAAUUCGGCUCAUUCGCCCGAUAAAAAAUCUGAUGAGCCCGAUCUUUUAGUGAGUCGAUCUGAGUUUGAACCUAAAAAUUAGGUUCGAAUUAAUAUGAGUCGAGUUUGGGACUUAUUACGCUCAAACCCGAUAUAAAUCUGGCCCUUUAAAUACUUAUAUAUAUAAUAUUUAUAUUUUGAUAUUAUGUAUAAUUAUAUAUCCAAAUAUAUUAUUACUAAAUACUAAAUAUAUAUAAAUUACAAAUACAAAAAUACAUCUAAAAACUCUUCCAUGAGCUUUCUUGAGAGCUAAUACUAGUAAUGCAUAACUGAAUCUCUAACUUUUCUUAUUGGUUGAGUAAAUUUUUGUGUUGGCAUAAUAUUGGUUGAUUUCUUUUUUGCCUACAAACACAAAUCAUCAAACAUGUUUGGAUUCAAAUCACAAAAUUAUAAAAAAAAAAAAAAAAAGUUUCAAUUUUUAAAGAUGUAUUGGUUUAUAAUCACAUGUUUUAUUAUUAUUUUUCAUGCAUUUUAAACGAAUUAAAUAUAAAUAUUGUUGAAAACUUUUUGGUUUAUAUACAUUUUAAGAACUAUUAUUUGUUCAUGUUUAAUUUUAAUAUUAUAGUCUUGUAAAUGUUAAAUUAGUUUUACAACUUGAUAGUUAUAGUAAUUAUAUUAAGAAAAUUAAGGAGUAAUAAGUGAGUUUGAGCUAAACCCGAUUAACGCUCACAACACGAAUAUUAUGUGAGUUGAGUAUGAGAUUCAUAUUUAUGAACCCGAAACUCAUAGAUCGAAACCCGAAAAUGUUUCAAAUUAAAUGAGUUGAACUUGAACUUAUGAAAGCCCGGAUUAUUAGACCCGAUUGACAGACCUAGACUCUGCACACCCAUGCAUAUGCGCUUCUUUAUCAGUACCACAUGCAUAUGCGCUCUUCCUUUUUUUUCUUUUAGGUUCCUUGGUCUUCGUUGAUACUUUUUCUCUUUUCUCUUUUUGCCUUUGUUUUUGGUCAGUACAAUUUGUUUUCGUGUUCAUGAAACAAGAGCAUGAACUUAGAAUGUUUUGAAUACAAGUUAACUCAAUUGAUAAGAAUGGUUCAUUUCUUUAUAAAAAGUCAUAUGUUCAAAUCAUGUUAUCGAUGUGAAAAGUGUAUUGAAAGUGAUUUAUAUAAAUCUCGAGAAGCGGUCUAUAGUAACUAAUGUUGCAUCUACCUAAAUUUUUUUUCUAUCAAAAAAAAAAGAAUAUGAAAUGUCCAAAAUAGCAAGGACCAGUACUUAGAGAAAUCUUAAACAGUUGCCCUUGCUUUUACUCAUAAAGGCAUCCUUUUACACGGUGAAGUUGUCUAUUCUCCAUUUCCUUUCUAACGAAGCAAGUAUAAAAAUUUCUAGCUGGCUACCGGGCUGACAUUCAAAAAAAAAAAAUCCAAGCAGGCUGCUGGGCUGUCAACUCGACCGCCUUUCAUAGAAAUUCCCAACUAGCUGUCGGGUUACUCAGCCGAGCAGCCCAAUAUUUUAAAAAAAAAAUUUACCUUGCCUGCGAGGCUGCCUGUAAUUUUUUUUUCAGCAAUAAACAAAGGAAUUAGCCUCAUUUGUUAAUAUUUGUAUGUGAUGUUAACAACGACGAUAAGAAGCCUGCUCUCAUAUUAAAAGGUUGGCCGACUGGACUACUUACCACAAACAUUGACAAAGCAUAACAAUCAGCUAAGUUGAUCGACCAAGGAGGAAAAGACACACAGCGCAACGACAUUUUCAUCCUAAAAUGAUCGAAUACAUAGAUAGGCCCAAGGUCGAACACUUCAAAUAUCAAGGAUCAUCAUAAGGUAGAGCAUCCAUCCCUUGUAGUACAAGUUAUAUAUGACACGACAACAUUAUACAUACGUACUUAGGAUCAUAAGGUAGAGGGACUGUUCAAACCACCAUACAGACAUCUUUGAUUCGCAAGAUACAUUCAGCAUUGCAACUGACAGUGGCAGGUCAACGACUUUGAUAUGCUUAAAGUCAGUUGAGACUAAUAAUAAACCGUA